rnacentral:lncRNA from 1 species
AUGGAGGACUCCACUUUUUCCCCUUUUUUUCUGGUGGCUUAUGUGGAUUAAGUGGAGUUUGGUGAACCUCGCUGUGAAGCUGUGAUGUAUUAAUAAUGUUCUACACAUCUUGAAAAGGUCUUCUCUGUGUCCUUGCUGUUUUUUUGGCUGAUCUUACACUCGUAUUAUAAGUAACUGUAGAUGCAAAUCAUAAACCAGUAUGGUUAUUUAUUAGUUUGCAUCAUAUGUAGAUGCUAUAUUGUUGGAAUAUAAAUGUUUACAUACCUUUUGUUUCCUUUUGUAUGGCUGCAGAAGAAGAAGGACCAGUUACUGUCUGUAAGGCUUCAGAAUCACACUGCUGGGCUGGUAUGUUACCUAUUCCAGAUCUCAAUCGAUUAAAAAUCCCUUUUACUUGAACAUCACUCCUAUCUUGUUGGUUAUGUAGAUUUGGAUUUAUGUUUUGAUCAUGUAGCUGAGACCUAGAACGCUUUGUGUUAGGUGUCUGCAUUACAUUGUUAUUUUCUUUUACUGUUUCAUUUUUUCUUCUCUUCAUUCUGAAAAACAAAAUAGAUUUUUGAGGAAAAAUAAUUCCAAUUAUGUCAUUUGUCAAUGAACAUGUUCAAUGUUGAAAGAGAUUAAAAGACUGACCUUAUAGAUGUUUCUUUGCUAAUGAGGCGAGUAGCUGUAGAUUAGGAUUGAAGGUGUUAAAUGGUUAUGUAAUGAUUAUAAAGAAAUCGUCUCAGCCUGAUUUAGUGUGAUAGCAUUAAACUGAAAAGAUUACAAAAUAUAUUUUCUUUUCCAUAUUCAUAAUAAAAUCUACAUGAUUGAUUUUUAUUUUUAUUUUUAGAAUCUUGUAUAUUAAUAGGUUAAAUAUGCCAGUUUGGUCGUGAAAGCAGUUGUUAUACUACAACAAUGAAAUCUUUUAAAACUGAUUUAUCUAUACUGCUAUACUCAAGUCCAAUUUGUUAACGAUCCAGAAGAGGAGAUAGAUUUUAAUAGCUUAAGAUCUUUAAAAUACUUGCACAUAUGCCCUUUAAAAUAUAUGUACUUAUAUAUCUCACAUAUUAAUUAAGUUAGCCAUUUAUAGUAUAGAUAUCGUCAGAUUAGUAUAGAUUCAUCUCAGUCUCUCAAUGUUUGUUACUAACAUGUGUUUUCUUUUAUCUGCAGUGUUAGCUACUAAAAUGGGGCUUAUAUAUGAAGAUUCAUCAGUACAAAUCACAGGUUAGUAUAUUUUCUCUUUCUGUUUUGUGAUCUUUAGUUUAAGCAUAAGUUAGUUUAUAUUUUGCAAAGAGUUUAGUAUAAGGAGAAGCUUAGACUUUAUUGCCUGAAUUCAAAAUAACUGAAAAUUAAACACGCACAUAGCUAAAGGAAAUAACUAAAUAAGUUUUGAAACUUGAACAAAAGAAAAAAAUAGAAAACUAAUUGCUACAGCCAAGCUCCCUACAUUAUUCCCAGCCGGCACAACUUAAUUCUUGCCACCUUCAAUCUCUUCCUUCUCAAUGUCACCAAGAAUGGAAGAGACACAUGCCUUUUUAGUAGUAGAACCCUGACCUUCAAUGUCCUCAGAAACUGCAUCCAUACUACGCUUAGAUGAAGGAGUGGAUGAUGUAGGACCUAAAGGGUCAGUGGUUUCACUACUAUUGGUCAGAGCAAGUCCUUCCUGUUACAGUAAGAAAAUUAGGAUAGUCAAUAUAUAAUAGAUAAUUCUUUCAUAUAACAAAGUCAUUAAAUUAUAUAGUUAUAAGUAUCCAUAAUUUAUUCCCUGACUUGAGUAUAACUGAUGGUACUCACUAUUUAAUUGAAACAUGAUCCAGCCCUUUAGUGAUAAACUUGAAUAACUUUUUGAUAGAUUGAUUUUGGUUGCACCUACUAACAUUACCUGAUCAAUAGAGAGGUCAUUACGUUGGUCAGUCUGCUGGUCAGAAUCUUCAAUAGUAUCUAGAUUGUCAGAUUCAUUACCCAGCCAAACGGUUGAAACCUUGUAGGUUCAUCAAUUUCAUUGAUGUUUUCCUUUCCAACAGUCACCAGAAACUGGAAAGUCUUUCCAACCAAAUCUCUGAUUGGCUGAGGCAAGUUUGUAGGAUCCUGAAUCUGUUAUGAUAGAUUGAAAAAGUAUAUAAGAGAUUUGAAUAUUAUGGUCUAUAUACAUAUUAACAACAAAUUUGUUUACCUCAUCCCACUUCCCUUCAAGCAAAUCCUCUGCAGACACACCGAUUAUCUCUUGUGCACUUUUAUCAAAGAUAAGACAUUUAGUGUCUCCAGUGCUAUCCAUUACUCCAACGUUUAAAAGAUACCUACAUAUCAAAGGAACAAGAAAGUAGAUUAGAUACAUAGUUAUUAUCUGAAAAAUGUAGAUAUAUAUUAGCAAAUCUCAAAGUCCUACCUUGGUAUCACCUUAGGAGUGUAUUCCUUACAUGUUGGACACCAAAACAGUUCUUUCUUACCUUUCUUGACAAUCUCAUUUUCAACCUUUGGAAUCUUAUAGGCAGUUUUGCUAUACUUGAGACAACUAAAGAAAUACCAAGAAUAGUCUGUGUCGAUAUUCAUUAUGGUAUAAAUUAUGUUGCACUUUCCAGUCUAAACAAAAUAAUAGAUAAUUAGUAAUAUAGACAGGGAAAUUCUAGAAAAAAAUAAUAUUAUCAAAUACUAAUACCUCAGAAAAACAAAAGAGUCCAGAGAUGGUUUUCCUUGGAAAACGAUCAUAGUAAUCCUUCUUUCUCUGUUCUGCAUUCACUUGUUUUGCCUUUGAGUCUUCGAUAGUAAGUGGCAUAACAUCAGGUGGUAAACUAUUUUUAACAAAUAAAAGAAAAAGAAAUCAACUUUAGAUAAUAUAAAUAGGAUUCACAGUUUUAUAUUAGCAAAAGAAAUGUGAAUUUUUAACAUCUCACUUGGCCACAAACUCAAGAACAGCAGGGUAGUUAGGAUUGAUUUCCAAUAGAGACAUAUCAAAUGAAUUUAAAACAACUCUUUCACCUAAAAACAGCAUGAUAUUAGUAUUUUCACAUAUGUUCUGGUUUCAUUUCGAUUUAUCAAAUCAUGCAUUUAGAAUACUUUAACAACAUUCUAUACCUUUAAAUAAGUUGAUCUUUGCAAGCCGAAGCAAGCAAAUCACUCUCUCAGUCCCUGCAUUUUGACAUGCAUUAUACAUUGCCUCAGCAAAUCUCCCCCAAAGAGUGCAUUUCAGCCUUUCAUCACUACAAUAUAACAAAAAUUGUGAGAAACUUUUGAGUUUAGAUUUAUGUAAGAUUAUAUAAAAUAAGGUAGAUAUUGACUAAACUUACUUUGUGUCUCUGAGUUCACACUCAAGUUUCUUUGUGAUCUUGUUGUUAACAUCAUGAAUUUUCAUUUCAUUGAAACUAACAACCUGUCCAAGUACAUCUGCAAAAUAAGAGAGUAAUAAAUUAUAUUUUCAUGAAGAAGUUCCUAUUAUAAUAGAAAAAGAAAAUAUACAAUGGAAAGUAAGAUAGAUAUAGUACCAAUGAAGAUGUUUUCACUCAAUACUGCUUCAUUCAAAAUAUCUGGAAAGUUUGCCAGAUCCACAUAAAUGUCAUCAGAAACAGCAGGAGUGCGACUUAUCACAGUUUUUUUCAUCAUGGACAUCUUGAAACCAUGUUUCGUGGCUCGAUACUUUCCUGUUGAUUUGGUUAGUGUAAAAUGCUCGAUAAUACGCCAUUCUCCAGAAACUAUGAACCUUUGGAGUUUGCUCACUUGUGGCUUCUUAACAGUAGCAUGAAUCAAAGUACCCUGGCAACAGAUAAAAAGAACUCAUGUUAAUCAUCCAUUGACAUUGAUAAUUGAUAAACGUUUAUUUGAUUUGAAAAUGAUAGUUCUUUUACUUACAGAUGUAUCAGCAAGAACCAUUUCAACUGUUUUUCCUGUGAAUUGAGUGUAUUGUGUCCACGAAUGCACAAUCUUAACCUGAAUUUUCCAAUGUGUUUUGAAGGGCUUAAUUUCAGCAAGAGGGGUGAAUGCUUGCACAGCUGCCAUUUUCUUAGAGAAAUAGUGAAGUGGUAGUGGUAAAGCCUUGAAAGGUGAGUUAUUUAGAAUGCAGGUAACUAUAUUUAUAGUAAUCUUAUGGAGCCUUUAGUUUUAUUAGGUUUUAGAGAAUAUAGGCCGUAUAAGAUCAUUUGGGAUUAGGAUCUUUAAGGUAUAUGCUUGAUUUAGUUAGAUUUCGUUGCAUAUAAUUUUCGAUUUAAAUAUUUGGUAUAUCAAUAUCGAACUGAAUAUAGAUAUUGAAGAGAUUAUGUGUAGAUUAUUAUACCAACUAAUAAGGGAAAUCUAAUAAGUUAGAAUACUGUAUCUUUCAAUAUAGGGAAACAGGAAUUAAUUAGUUUUGAAUUUAAUUUGCCGUGUAAAGGGAUAUUUUUUAGAAUGAAUUAAUAGUUUGCGUUUAUAUGGUAAGAUUUUUGCGAGAUUUGAGUGUAAUUAUUAAAAAAAUUAAUAAGUUAGAAUAUUGUAUCUUUCAAUAUAGGGAAAUAGGAAUUAAUUAGUUUUGCAUUUAAUUUGCCGUGUAAAGGGAUAUUUUUUAAAAUGAAUUAAUAGUUUGCGUUUAUAUGGUAAGAUUUUUGCGAGAUUUGAGUGUAAUUAUUAAAAAAAUUAAUAAGUUAGAAUACUGUAUCUUUCAAUAUAGGGAAAUAGGAAUUAAUUAGUUUUGCAUUUAAUUUGCCGUGUAAAGGGAUAUUUUUAAAUUGGCAUUAAUAGUUUGCGUUUAUAUGGUAAGAUUUUUGCGAGAUUUGAGUGUAAUUAUUCAAAAAAUUAAUUUGUUAGAAUACUGUAUCUUUCAAUAUAGGGAAAUAGUUAUUAAUUAAUUAGUUUUGCAUUUAAUUUGCCGUGUAAAAGGAUAUUUUUAAAUUGGCAUUAAUAGUUUGCGUUUAUAUGGUAAGAUUUUUGCGAGAUUUGAGUGUAAUUAUUAAAACAAUUAAUUGCUAACUUAUUUCCGAUUUAGAAUAAGUAAAGAAUAUGCUUGAUUUGUUAUUAUAUGGAAUAGAAAUAAAUACGUUUUAUUUUAGGAAGUGUAAUUUAUGAGAUUUGUUUGUUAAGGCAAUAUACAGAAUAGUAUAAUUGAUCCGGAAAAAUAGUCAAUGUCUCGGUAAUGUUUUUAUUUGGUAUUAUCUACAGCAGAUUCCAAAAAAAUCAAAAAGAGAUUCAUGAUGGACCUAAAUAUAUUGUAAGCCCAAUAGAUAUUUUGCUUUGACAGGAUCCAAGUGUAGGAUCCGGGAUCCGCGUCCCAACAACGGGAAUUUUACAAUUUUACCCCACCACGCAAAUUUUUAUUUUGUCUUUAAAAUUUUAAUUGUAAUGGCAUUCUCUUGUAAUUAUUUACAGAUUGUAAGGUUAUUUUUCAGGUAAUCCUUCCCAAUUAAUAGUAUAGAUUCAAUUGGUGUCUCUGGUUCCUCUUUGCCCUCUCUACCAAUUAUUGAGCUGCUUUCUUUUCCUACCUCUUUUUCUUGUUGAGUCUUCACUCCUCACAUGAUUUUAUAAUGUAUGUGCGGGUUCGGACCUAGUAUAAAAUGUUAUUUAUGUUUGCUUAUGACACAAUAGCAACCAUAAGGCAUUUUUUGGAGUUUGAAACUGAAGAGUAGAUUAGAAAAAAAUCUUAGAUUAAAAUAUAAUAUAAGUUAGAUUGAUGUAAAAAAAAUAUUAUAUAGUUAUAGUAUUUAUAACCUAAACGCAUAUCAGUUGGUUGAAAUAUUUGAAAUAAUAAUGAUUUUAAUAGUAUUUUAAAAUUCGUAACAAUCAAACGGUCGGACCAAGAUCAAAAUGAAUCGAAUUAAUGGUCACGUAGAUUUUUAUUAAACUUGUGAACAUUACACUUGUAAACUAUCAAACGUAUAUAAAACCGUUAAAAUGAUUAAAUACGUUUGCGAGAAAUAGAAAUAUUUAGAGAUAGGCGUAAUUCCCAUUCAGUUUUAUCAUGUUCCAUUAUAUCUUACCCGUUCUCCAAUUUAUGUCUCAUAAGAGAACGCAUUUCUAAUAUAAGACAAAUUUUGUAUUCCCGAUUAGAAACAGGACGUGACGGAAACAAAAAUUCUCGAUAUCCUGUUUGGGACAAACACAAAUAUAAUUCAUAGUAUAUUUUUAUAUGAUAUGCUAUAAUAAAAAAAGUUAGAUUGAUGUUAAAAAAAUUAUUUAUAUAGUUAUAGUAUCUAUAACCAAAACUCAUAUUAGUUGGUUGAAAUAUUUGAAAUAAAAAUGAUUUUAGUAGUAUUUUAAAAUUCGUAACGAUCAAACAGUCGGACCGAGAUCUAAAUGAAUCGAGUUAAUGGUCAGAUAGAUUUAGGUUAGUUAUAUAAAUUUAAAAUAAUGAAAACUACCCAUUUAAAAAAAAUAUAUAUUCUAAAAUUUUAUAUCAUUUAAACUCUAAUUAAAUGUUAAAUAUUUUAAUCUAUCUUUCAAAUAUUUUUUAGAUAUUUACAAAUUUAGAAUCCAAAAAAUUAGUUUUUGAAUAAGCUGUAUUUUAAAGGAUAGAAGUAUUUUGUUAAGAUUAUAUACGACAAAUAUAAUAAAUGUUUUUUCAUAUUUGGAAAAUCAAAAUUGAAAAAUCUUUUUUCCAUGUGUACCAAUCAGAAUUAAUUAGCAUAGUAUUGUUAAGGAAAUUUUUAAAAAUGUAAACGAAAUGAUAAUUUGUUAUUAGAUUAGAUUGCCAUUUUUGAAAAUAUCUAAUAAUAUCUUACAAAAAUAAUUUAGUUUACAUAUAUGCAAUUUUGAAUUAAAUAUACACAAUUACCCGUUUCGGUUUAUUAAUUUUCCUUCUUCAAAUUUAAAAAUAUCAAUGACAUUCUUUGUAAUUAUUUAUCUUUUAUAAGGUUAUAUUUUAUCUAAUGCUUCCCAAUUAAUAGUAUAAAUCUACACUAUUAAUAUCAUAAACUUUUAUAGAUUGGUAACAUCGUUGAUAACUACUUCUCGUUGCAAAAUUGAUAAUAUCGUUGAUAAAUAUUUAUAAUUUUAGUAUUUACCAACCCGCAAAUAUUUAAUUUUAUUUUAAAACAUAUUAUUUCUAUUAUUAAUUUAGUUUAGUUGCUAAUAAUUUGGUUUAGAUUUUAUUGUUAAAAUAUUUUUCUAUUUUUCAAUUAAUGACAUUCGAUUUAUGCUGAUUUUUUUUUAUUUCUAACAAAUUGAAAAAUACAAAAUAUUUUGAUUUAUAUUCAAAAUAAAUAUAUUGAUGCUGAAUAUUCAGUUAUUAUUUAAUAUUUAAUGUUGUUUCCUUUUUUGUUUUCUGUAGACAAAUCAUACCAAAAAUAUUGACGAAACAAAUCUCAGAAUAUAUUGGAUCAUUUAAUCUCGUUAUUUAUUUUUACAAAAAAUUAAUGAAGGAUCCGAAUCAAAUAUAUUUAUUUAGUUGUAGUAGUUGUUUAUUUACUAAAUUACCCAUGUAAAAAUUCAUUUAGUUAGUCUUAAACUACCCUCACAAUGUUGUAGUUCACAAAAUGCUUCCCAAUUAAUAGUAUAGAUUCUUACAAUAAUUAAAAUUUUUAUUAAACUAUAAUGAUAUUAUAUAUAUAUAUAUAUAUAUAUAUAUAUAUAUAUAUAAAAUUUAGGCAUUUUUUUGCACGAAAUUAAAAUUUAUCUACAAAUUUUAAAUAAGAUAUUAUAUAUAUAUAUAUAUAAUAUCAUUAUAGUUUAAUACAAAUUUUAAUUAUUGUAAGAAUCUAUAUUAUAUAUUAAAAUUUGAAACCAAAAUUAUUGUCAAUAAAAAACCAAAAAACUUAAUUUUUAGUUAAUUCUUUAUUGUUUCAUUACCAUAAUCUUAUAUAUAUAUAUAUAAUCUUUCAUAUAUAUAUAUAUAUAUAUAUAUAUAUAUGAUUUUAUUUUUUAUCAAUAAUUGUUUUUUGUGCAAAUGGAUUCUGGAGCUAUAAUAAUUUAAUUGCCAAAAAUAGAUAAAUAGGUAUUAAAAAAUUGGUGAAAUUAGAUAUAUUAGCUUAUGUCUUCAACUAUUUAAGGAAUAACAAGUUGAAAUAUAAAUAGCUAUACCGUGUUAUACAUGGAUUAAACUUUUUAAAAUACGUAUAGUGUCAAUCAUUAUGCAAAUGGAUUUUGGAGCUAUUAUAAUUUAACUGCGGAAAAUAGAUAAAUAGGUAUUAAAAGAAAUUUAAUUGGUGAAAUUAGAUAUAUUAGCUUGUGUCUUCAACUAUUUAAAGGAAUAACAAAUUGAAAUAUAAAUAGGUAUUAAUGUGUUAUACAUGGAUUAAACUUUCUAAAAUAAAAUAAAAAAUCAAAUAAUGGAUAAAAAGAAUAUAUAAGAUUUAUGUAGUUUUACCUAAAUUAUUUGGUCUGAUUGGUAACACAAAGCUGUACAAUUUUUUUAGCUUUUAGCUGGAGCGGUAAUAUGCUAAAUUCAUAGGAAAAGUGUUUAGGAAAAAAUGAGCAUUAUAAUUGGCAGAAAUAGGGAAUGUAGAGAUGGAACUAAACAAGAAGUUACAACAUUGUGCAAAAUAAGUUUCACGUCUGAUAGAAACUGGAGGAGUCUUUACUUAAUAUCAUAUAAUACAUUAUAAAUCUUUUUGACGGUUGCUAAUUGCUUGAAUAAAAUGAUAUUAUUUACCAAGGAAGUUCCAAGAAUGUCAUGUUCAUGGAAACUUUCAAAAGAUUAGGUUCAGACAAAGCUACUGUAUAAUCUGUUUUUUUUUUCUUUUACUUUUUUUUUUUGAUCAUCUGUUUUUUAUAUAUUGAAAUUUUGAUAGGAUUACAGACUUUGCAAAGUAGAAACCAAGAGAAGGCAGACAAAAACUCCCAACACUUUCAUACCAUAAUCUACACCUUUUAUAAAAACAUGGCCUAUACAAAAGAAUAUGCUUUCAUAUUAGAGCCAUAUUGAGACAAACAAAAAAAAACAAUUAGAUAGAGAAUGAAACUCCCACUUUCAAAUAAUCAAAAACAAUUAGAUAGAGAAUGAAACUCCCACUUUCAAAUAAUCUAUUAAGCCAAUGAAGAUGAGAAGAAGCUGCAUAAGAGUUUAAACGACCCUCAUUAAUAACAAUUUGGGCAAUGAGACGAGCUCCUCUAUCUGCUGAUGAUUUUUCCCUCCAUCCAAUGAAAGAUUGAAGUAACCUCAACACUUUAGUAGAUUUCCCUUUAAAAGAGGGUAAAGCUUGAGGUCUUAACAUAUCCCAACAUUGUUGUAUUUUCAUAUGUAAAAAUGAUGUUAUCACAUUUAUGAUUGAUCAUACAUUCAAUGGUUCAUAUAAUACAUGUGAAAAAUGCACAUCAACUAUAUGCUCAUCACUCAUCCAUAUGCGAGGUAUGACUACAUUCUCCUCCGCUUGUGUUUCCAAGCAACCAUAUAUUAUCUAUGGCGGGAAAGAAAUGAGAGAAGGCACAACAGCCUACAUCGUACGCACUCCCAACUAGUCCGUACGAUUGAGAGAGUUAUACAUUCAAGAAUCGUGUCUCUACGAUUCUAUGAGAAUAAGAAGCUACGAGGGUUGAUCCAACGGUGGUUUAGCUCAAGGCAAACUCACUAGCUGUUUUUGCUACUAUGUUCUACUUUCCAAUGCUUAUGCUCUGUUUCUUAUUGCUCUAUUAUUUCAUUUGUUGUAAAUAACUCUAUUUUCAUCAAUUAAUUUCACAUUUCAUCAAAAAAAUAAUGCACAUCAAAUAUGUAAUAGCAUAGCACUUCUUCUCUUUUUUUUUUUUUUGUUAAAAGCACUUCUCCUCUUUUAUCUCUUAAAACCCAUGCAACACCUGCUACCAAAUUCCUUUUUGAUCACUCAGCUUCAAUGUUACACUUAAGCAGGAGCAAAGCUAACUCAUUGGGAGGGGGGUUAGUUGACUCCCAUAACAUUUGUGAAUUUUGUUUUGCAUGCUUAUUUGGUCACUACAUGAUAAAUGAUUUGGUGUAAAUUUUCUUAUUUGACCUCUAUGUCUGAGGAUAAUCUUCUCCCUUUGACCCUUCUCUUGCUAAUUUUUUUAAUUUUGUUGUGUCUUUAGUCUUUUAAAACACACUCUCAUCAUUUUUACAUAUUAAUCUUGGUUAUUCUUUUCAUUCUUAUAUAUUUUGAGACAAAAUUAUUAUAAUUCAUAUAUACCAUAUUUCUUAUACCAAUAUUUACAGAAAAAUAAAGUUGGAAAAUGAUAAAUAAUAUGAGACUACACUUAUACCUCAACAAAUAGUUAAGUAUUUCUAGAGCUGUGUAUCUAUUUUAAUUGAAAAAAACUACAAGUUAUAGGGUUUGUAUAAUGAUAUUAUGUUUAGUUAUAUUUGAUUUAAAAAACAUAGUACUUAAAAUGCUGAAAUUUGGUUUUAGUAGCAUUAUUUUAAAAAUAAAUGAAUUUAAUAUUAUUAUACAAUUAUAAUAAAGGAAAAAUGUCGGUAAAAUCCCCAACUUAUUCAAAACGUUGAUUUAAAUCUUCAACUUAUGAUGAAACGAAAUAAAUAUCAAACUUAUGUUGACUUUCCAAAUAAAUAUCAAACUUAUGUUGACUUUCCAAAUAAAUAUCAAAUUUAUGUUGACUUUUCAAAUAAAUAUCAAACUUUCGUUGAUCUGGCCAUAUUAGAUACGACGUUAAGUGGGUUAAUAUUUAUUUGGAAAGUCAACAUAAGUUUGAUAUUUAUUUCGUUUCGUCGUGAGUUGAGGAUUUAAAUCAACGUUUUGAAUAAGUUGGGGAUUUUAAUGACAUUUUUCCCAUUAUAAUAAUAUAUAUAACUCCUAUAACAAAUUAUUCUGGCACCGCCACUGCACUUAAGCCAUCUGUUUGGAGGAUGUUUUCAAAUACCUUAUGUCCCCAAAUGACUAGCACUAGGCAAAUUUAGAUACACUAACACUUCUAAUAGCCUCCGGUGUGCCACCAUUUAUCUCUGUAUUCGCGUCACCUCUUUGAGCCACAGACCACUCCUCAACAUCGUCUGAUAUUUUCCUUGCGAUACCUAAGUAUUGGAAACUUAACUUUUUUUCCUUUUCAUUCUCUACUAAUUCUCCAAAUAAAUAGUCUACUAAAUUAGGUAAAUUUUCAUAUAAAAUUGCUUUUUAUGUAGGUCUUCUUUAUUUAACAUUUUAACUGUCAAUUAUAAAUUUCUAUAUUUAUUAUUUUUGCCUUUACUUAAUUAAACAAUCAUUUUUCAUAUGCAUAAAAUAGUUAAAUAAUGUACAAAUAUUAAGUAUUUUAAAUAAUAGGGAACGUGGCAUGUUGGGGCACUUACAGAGAUUUUAUGAGCAAUUUAGGCACAUGAGAAGGAGUAGGCACUUUUUUGAUGAUUUUUCACUGUUCCAAAAAAAUCAAUACGAAUUUACCCUUACCACAUGUGGAUUUUUUAACCCAACUGUGGUUAACUUCUUAAAUUACAGCCGUUGGAUAUAUUGGAGAGAGAAUCGAUCCUACGAUUGAAGACAAGUUUCAGGUGAGAGUUAGGUGUGUUGAUGAUAAUACCGACAACAAGAUUUUAGGUUUCGCUCCCCAUUUCGCAACAUGGCCGAUGAGGUAAAAGUAACACUUACAUAUGGAUAUUCAAUCUUUUUCGAUAAAUUGUGGAUUAGUGUUGAUGGUUGUAGAAAUGUGAUCAAUUUUUUCAGGGUUAUUGUAUGGUAAUCUGCGGCGAAUGGCAAUAUUCCGAACUUCAACAAUGGGAUUUCGUUAUCAACAAAUUUCUUCUGUCUAGAAUUGUUCCAAUUACCCACAGGAUGAAGCUAUGCGAGUUGGAAGAGGUUGUGUUAAAAGAAUUCCAGAAUGAAGUUUCAAUUUUGGGGACACCCAGGUUUAGUUAUUUGCCGCCGAAUAUAAUGGAUUACACGACUGGGAAGACGACGCCUCCGAUAUUGGUUACUAGUGAGGUUGGUUUGAAAUUUUUCAUUUAUAUGUUCCUGAGAAAUAGAGGAUUGAAUUUAUUCGUAAAUUUUGGUGAAAUGAUGGGGAAUGUGAUUCCUCAUGGAGCAAAUGUGAGGGAAGAAUGUGUAGCUGGGAUAUAUGUGAUGAGGAGCAAAAAAAGCGUGUUUUCAUCAUCUAGUGAAAGAAUUGUAAGAAGUGAUGAUGAUAUUGGAUGGGAGGCUCCAACUGCAGGUUCAAAAACUCCACAGAUUCCAACCACAUAAGAUGAUGUGGAUGUUUUGGCUGAGGUUGAAGUAAUGGAUAGAAUGAUGGGGAAAGGGAGUCCUCAUGGAGAAAAUGGAAGGGAAGAUUGUGUUGCUGGGUUAUCUGUUAUAAGGAGCAAGAAAAGAGUGCUUUCAUCAUCAAGUGAAGGAAUUGAAAGAAGUGAUGAUGACAUUGGAUGGGAGGCUCCAGCUGCAGGCUCAAAAACUUCAAAGAUUCUAACCACACAAGAUGAUGAGGUUGUUUUAGCUGAGGUUGAAGUACUGGAGGCUAUGUUUACGAGAGGCGAUGAACAAGUACUUAGGAGUGGUUGUGAGGGGAAAAGUAGAACUAGUGGCAGUAGUGGAGACUAUGAAGAUAUAUUAGAGGAUAGUGAGGAAGAGCUUGAAUUAGGGGAAGGUGAAGUUGAAGUUUCUCCAUCCCGAUAUGAUACAGAGUUUUGGGGUAAUUUUUUGGAUGAUGAGCUAGCUGGUUCUAAUGCCCCUGAGAUAAUGUGUAGUCCGAGGGAAAUUAGUUCUCUAGUAGAAAAAGGUUUGCAAGAUGGUAUAAGAAGUGAUGGCUCAGCAGCCUUGCCAAUUGGAGGACAGAGAGAAAAUGAGGCAAGGAAACUUGAUGAAGUUGAUGACGAGGAGUUUGAUAUACCUCCUUUGUUUGAUGAUUGUGAAUAUGAAAGGGACGAAAUCCCUGAUCUUGAUAUUGAAGAUGAUGAGAAAGGGAUCUUUAAGGGAAUGGUAUAUGAAAGUAAACAAGAUUGCCAAAUAAGCUUAGCUAUCCAUGCAAUCAAGGAACAAUUUUACUUUAAGCAAACUCGUACAAAGCGUCAUUCUUUUGUUCUUACUUGUGCUGAUGAACGCUGUCAGUGGAGAAUAAUGGCUCUUGAGAUGAAGACGUGUGGUUACUACCAGAUAAGGAAGGCUGAUUUAGAGCACACAUGCAAUAUAGAAACAAGGGGACAGUACAUGAAGAAGGCAACUUCUAGAGUUAUUGCAUCGGUGUAUAAAGCAAAGUACAGUAAGAUAGCUCAGGGGCCAGUGCCUAUGGAUCUUCAACAGAUGGUACUUAAGGAUUUGAGGGUGACAGCGUCAUAUAGUACUUGUUGGAGAGCACGUGAGAAAGCUGUGGAAGAGGUGUUUGGUACUGAUGAUGAUUCAUAUAAGGCUUUAGAAGAUUAUCUGUAUGUAUUGAAACUUGAAAAUCCAGGUACUGUUACAGAGAUCAAAACAAAGGCUGAAGAAAAUGGAUGUCAAAGGUUCUUGUAUAUGUUUUUGGCAUUUGGGGCAUCUAUUGAGGGAUUUCGACAUCUUCGUAGGGUUGUUGUAGUGGAUGGGACUCAUUUGACUGGUAAAUACAAGGGAGUGUUACUGACAGCUAGUGGACAAGAUGCUAACUUCCAGGUUUUCCCCCUUGCAUUUGCAGUGGUUGACAGUGAGAAUGAUGAAUCUUGGACAUGGUUUUUUGAGAAGCUUGAGCGUAUUAUUGCCGACAGCAGUACCAUUACUAUAAUUUCAGACCGUAACCAAUCAAUCUACGUAGCUAAGAAGAAGGUAUUUCCUUGCGCUUACCAUGGGGCAUGUAUAGUUCACUUAGCACGUAAUGUGAAUGCUAAAUUCCAUAACAAAGGUCUUGCUAAUCUGGUUAAGAACGCUGGCUAUGCUUAUACUGUCAAACAGUUCAAUGUGAUUUAUGCUCAGAUAAGCAUGAAGAACAGUGAGUGUGCUAAUUAUCUUGAGAGGAUGAAAACAGGGCAUUGGACAAGGGUCUAUUUCCAAGGUGACCGAUAUAAUCUAAUGACAAGCAACAUUGCAGAAACUCUGAACAAUGCAUUAAGAAAAGGCCGAGGGUCCCCUAUUAUGGAAUUGUUGAAGUUCAUACGGGCGAUGUUAACAAGAUGGUUCAGUGCAAGAAGAAAGAAGUCUGGAAAGCAUAUAGGGGUAGUUACUCCAGAAGUAGAUAAAGUAUGGACGAAAAAUCUUGCAAAGGUCAGAGGAAGCAAAGUUGGAAAUGUGUCUACCUGGAGUUAUGAAAUUGUGGGGCUGUUCAAUGGAAAGCAUCAAGUCUAUCUUGAUCGUAAACAAUGUACUUGCAAGGAGUACAAUAAGCUAAAAAUUCCAUGUGGACAUGCUAUGUUGGCAGCAACCAGCGUUGGUCAAUCUUAUGGAUCCUUGGUAGCACAUUUUUACAAGACAGCGACUUGGAGAGCAACCUACGAGGGUGUAAUUAAUCCUGAACUCAAUCUAGAAGACGUUGUUAUUCCAAAUGGAAUUAAGAGUGGGGAUAUCUACCCGCCGCGGACUAGAAGGCCAUCUGGAAGACCUAAACAGCUGAGAAUCAAAUCCAUUGGGGAAUUUCCGGUUGGUAUCUACCAAAAAUAUUUUAUUGAAAUAUUAAUUAUAAUAUUUAAUUCAAACUGAUUUCUGCUCUUUUGUGAAAUUGCAGAAAUCAAAGACUGUGAAGGUGAAAAUUAACAGGUGUGGCAGAUGCAAAAAGACUGGCCACAACCGGACAAGCUGUACUAAUCCAAUCUGAAUAUGUUUUUAAAUCGUAUCUAACUAUUGUCGGAUAUAUGGAUAGAACGAUGACCAGGUUAUUUUUUUGUUUUGGUAUGAAAACUGUCUCAUUUAUGGAUAAUGUAUGUUGUAGUAUAAACCUAUUGUCUAUUUUUUUAAUUUGAAUUUUUAACUAAAUUCAUAUCAAGAUUUGAAUUUUUUCUAAAAUGAUCUUAAAAAUUAUUUUCAUUAUAUUCGACAUUAACCUAUAAACCAUUAACCAAGACCCAAAAAUUUAUCACCCAUAUAGUAGAAUAACCAUUAACCAGUAACCAUAAACCAUAAAUCCUUUUCUCUAAAUUGUAUAUUCUAUAGUGGACAGGUUUAUGUGGAUGCGAAAUAGAUAUAAUGUGAAGGGAUACUUUUUUAAAUUUUUUAAAAAUAAUCUACAUUAAAUAGAAUAAUUACUAGGCAUCUAAUAGGUCCUAUUUUCUCGGAAACAUUACCUUCGAUACAGUUAAUAUUACUGAUUCAUUUAAUUAGAAUUUUUCCCUAAUUGAAACGUCGAUUCGGUGAAAAGGUGUUUCAAAUUCCUAUGGCCUCUGUAAAAAACUUUAUAUAUAUCGGUAUCAUGCCAUCAUCCAUCUAUCUGUUUCUUUCAUAGCGUGAACAAUCUUAACCCUUCCCUCACCACAAAGUUUAAGUUGUUUAGAGUAGAUCAUGGUUAACUACCAUUUGCUUCACGAGUUGUCACCUGUAAUUACAGGAUGGAUGAUAUGUGUCUGUCUUCUUAGGGUUUACAAGAAAUUUGUGAAUCCUAACUCCUAUGAUAUCUGCUGCAUUCUUGUAGAUGAAUCGGUAAGUUUCAAAAACCCAGGAUCCCUUUGUUUGUUUUUUCCAUGUAUUGAAUGGUUGAAUGUAACUAUCUCAUUUAUAUCGUAAUUUUAUAGGGUGGCCAAAUGGAUGCAAGAAUAGAUCGUCGUUUCGCUGCUGUUUAUCUAGAGUCUAUGAAGGAAAAACAGUGGAAGACUAUAACGACUUUCAUUGUCCGAAAGAUCUCUGAAAAAAUCUGUCCAACAACCAAUCCAUAUGGUAUAUGGUUUAUGGAUCACACUGUUGUAACAAGAACCGAACCUAAGGAAACCAUCUUGUUUGAAAACCUCACUCCCUUUGACUACAUAGUUGAGAAUUCAGUCCCAACUAAUAUUUUGGUAAGUAAAGAAUACAUGAAUAAUCAUAUUUAUAUGUUUCUUUAGGGUCCUUAUUUAUACAUAUUUGUUUGUUAUUCCUAUAACUAAGUUUAAUGUAAUGAUGCAGAAAUUGUUGGGGCAAUAAUAGAGGUAGGAAGGUUGAGAAAUACAUCUGCCAACAUGGAAGACGUUAAUGGUUACACCAUAAAUUUCAAGAUCAUGGAUCGCUCGUAAGUUAAAAAACAUUUUACUAUCCAUCUGUACAGGAAUUCAUGUCUUUGUCACACUACAAGAAAAAUGAACAUUGAUAGCACAUGACGAUAGCUCAUUUUCCAUAACUGCUAUUAAAGAUAGUACCGAAAGUUAGGUUGGUCUAUCAUAGCGUUUUAGAAACGCUAAGCAUAGUGAAAAGCUAAAAUCACUUGUGGCGGCCAAUAUUUACCCAAAAUUUUAGACUUAAUGCCCACAAGUUAAAAGAAAAAAAAAACUCAAGUCAUAACCCUUAAUUCGUCGGAAAAAAAUUAAAAAAAUUAACUCGUGGAAGUGUUAACUGGUCUCUUCUUCUCUAAGAAAGUUCUCUCAUAUCUCUGAUCCACCUUGUCACUUAUCUCGGCGAUUUCUUCCGGCGGGACCAGCCACCUCCUCCGUCUGUGUACCUGACAAAUCGAGAUCAAUUUCAAGAGAUGCAGCUUGCAUUUUCCGGUGAUGGCUUCACUCGGAUCGACUGCCUCCGGCCAUUUCCCAGCUUGACGCCCGUGCUCUUUUCUCCUCUAUUCCCAUGUGUUCUCGACCUAUGCACCGUCUCCGGUGGUUUUGAAAGGGUAUCUAGGGUUUAUCUAAUUUUAGUUGAAUUUUGAGUUUAUGAUUUCGUCUCUAACGAAAUUGAUAACGUAGGCAGCUUGGAAAAUUUGUAGAGGAAAUCGCCAUCUAUGUAGGGUUCUUCCUUGUUUCGAGUCCCGAUCUCCUCUCUCAAUCUCAGGUAACGCCAAAAUCCUCUUUUUAAUUUAUGGGAUCUUUUCUACCACUUUCGAUAUCGCCGUUUUAGAUUUGAGAAUAUAUCAUCGUCCCACGAACUAAUCGCAUAUGUUGUUGUCUGACAUUAAUUUUCAUUUCUAUCUAUUGUAGUCUUCAGCUUCCGAAUUGACUUUCAACAAGUAAGCUCGAUGCCUUAUAUAUUUUUCUUACCAAACCCCCAAUCAUGUUGUGUAGAUGAAUAUUAUUUUCUUUCUAGUUUUGAUGGAUAUCCAUCAUUCACACGGGAUUAGUUAUCUAGCCAUUGAUGUCUCAUCCUUGAUUUAUAUGUUUUUUUGAAUAUUUCAGGGCAGAUGAUGAAGUUAUUGGUAGGGCUAUUGCUAUUAAGAUUUUUAGUAAUAGUAUUUUGCCUCUUUGUACUGGUGUUGUUAUCAUUGCUCUUGAUUGAUAAACUAAACACUCAAUUCUUAAUCUCUUAAUGUGUUAAUUGACCCAUUAGCUUUGUUAAAUUCUUCCAAAAUCUCAUCUUUAGACAUGAGCUUUUUGUUGUUAUGUGUCUCCUUGUGUCAAUUAUUUAUAUGUGUGUUUUGGUAAAAGUUUUGUCUUUUUGAUUGCUGUUCUAAUCGCAGUUUGGCUAAUCUAAUCUAUGGAUUGUUUGAAUUUUGUGUUGAGUUUGUUGCUCUUGCCUCCACCACUUCCGUUUCCUAGUUGUUUCCUUCUUUGUGGAACUAUAACUUGUUGUAUACCUCUAUAUAUUUGAUAUCUCUGUAUUUUACCUCUUUUUAGCACACAUUUCUUAUGCAUUUAGCUUAGUUUCCUCUCUGUUUCACUGCAUUAAUAUUCCUUUUUCAUAAGAUUUUCAUCACUUAGUACGAUUUGCAUUGCAUGGCAUAGCAUGUUGCAUAUUGGAUGAGUUUUAGGUACUUUGGAGCUUAUUUGGGACUUAAUGGAGCAAGGAGGAACCAACACGACCUUGGAGCUAGACUUGGGAUCGAAUUGGAGAAGAAUGAAGUCGUUCAAGAUCACCUGGGAGCAGUCUCGACGUGCAGACUCGACGUCACGUCGAGAUGGACACCAAGAAGCAGCCUGGGAGCAGUCUCGACGUGCAGACUCGACGUCACGUCGAGAUGGACACCAAGAAGCAGCCUGGGAGCAGACUCGACCAGACAGGCUCGACGUCACGUCGAGAUGGACAUCAAGGCGCCACCUUUGAGAAUCACUUGGUCUCGACGUGUCAGGCUCGACGACACGUCGAGUUGGCCUCCACCGACUCUCUAUUUUGUCCUGUAGCCAAUUAGGGCAACCUAGUAUUUCCUAUAAAUAGGGGUACAUGCUAUUGUCCAAAGGAUAUCCCUUUUACCCAGCAGAUAUUCUUCUUUUCUCUCAUAAACCCUAGUUUUUGUAAUCGUUUUUCCUGUUGAUCCUUUGAGUUUUUGGAUUUCGUUUCUUCAUCAACGUUGUAGAUCUGCCUCUUAUCUAUAACAUACUUGCUUUUUAAUGAUUUCUGGGUUUGAAACGUUUUCUGGGUUUUUAUGCAUGAUGUUCUUCAGUGUUCUUGAGUAGUGGAUUAGGGUUUUUGAGGAUGGGAUAGAUUAGGUGUGGAAUCCUUAGUAUAUUUAGGUGGUUAAGUGUAGAAUUGCUUGAUUUCCCUUCUGGUUUAGUAGAUCUUAAUGCUACUUCCUCUCUGAUCAAUUGGAAGUUGAUCUCAGAUAUUUCCACACCCAAAAGGUGUUUGAUGAAAUGUCUGAACCAACUAUUCCAGAGAUUUGCAUACUCUAGCCCAAGAGAUUGGAUGUUUAGAAUGCUUAUUGACUCUAUUAGAUUGAAUCUUAAUGCCUGCUAGAUUAUAUUUCUUCAAUGAGAAUUGAGUAUGAAAGUGAUUUAGCUUGAGAAUCUCUGUCACGAGAGUGGAUUGAUUUGUAUUCGAAUCUAUUGUCUAGGGAUAGCUUGAUUGAGUUUGUUAACCACCUAGGUAGACUAAGGAGACUGCCAUAAUCGAUUACCCCAUUCCUCAAGACCCUUUAUCUCUAUUGAUUGUUUAAAUCUUGUUUCUGUUAGUCUCUGUUGACCAUCUCGACCUGUUAGGCCUAGAUCGUUUCUCUGCAUUGUUAGGUUGCUAGUUUCUUUUCCAAAGCUUAUGCAUGAUAGUUUCUGGUCUUUAGUUUACUUCUUGCUCUUGUUUACUUGCUGUUUAGUUCUCUUUUAUUGCUUUUAAAUUCGGUAUUUGCAUGUUAAAUUGGUUGCUUAGGAUCAAUAGAAACACACAAAACCCUUUCACAAUUGGCUUGACUUAUUUGCUUUCUGUUUCAUAUCUUGAAUGCUUGCAGUCACACUGAGAUUGGAUUGAUAACCUAAUAUACUACAAUGGCAUGUGUAUUAGGGAUUGAUACAUGUUAGAGAUAGACAAAAUCUGACUAUCAAUUUGGCGCCGUUGCCAGUCUUGUGUUGCAUUGUUCCAUUUAAGAUUUCAGAAACGUUUAAGAUCAAGUUCUUUCUUUACCUUGGUUACUAACUCUUCAUUUCAUCUGCUUGUUUUUGUGCUCCAGGUACCAUCUCGACGACACGUCGAGACUGCCACAUCGAGACUGCCACUCUGCAUUGUUAGGGACCAUCUCGACCUCACGUCGAGACUGCCACAUCGAGUCUGAUCACUCUGCAUGCAAACUCGAUCUAAAGGGUCCAACAACCUCAUCAGCUACAAAGACAACAUCAACCAGUUAGCUCGUGAGUUAAGAGAAGGUAGAGCCCGAGACUACUGUGAACCGCACAAUCCAGUCGCCAUGGAACCACAAGAUCAUGAUAAUCAAGGAGUUGGUAUACCACGGAACAUUGGUGAUGGUGAUGCACCACGCAACCAUCAACAGAGACAGGGCAUCGUUCCACCUCCUGUCCAGAACAACAAUUUCGAGAUCAAGAGUGGAUUGAUCUCAAUGAUUCAAGGUAACAAGUUUCAUGGGUUGCCUCUGGAAGACCCCUUGGAUCACUUGGAUAACUUUGAUAGGCUCUGCAGCCUCACCAAGAUCAAUGGUGUUAGUGAAGACAGCUUCAAGCUACGUCUGUUUCCCUUCUCGCUGGGCGACAAAGCACACCACUGGGAGAAGACACUACCUGCUGGCUCCAUCACAUCUUGGGAUGAUUGCAAGAAGGCAUUCUUAACAAAGUUCUUCUCCAAUUCCCGGACUGCACGUCUACGAAAUGAAAUCUCCAGUUUUACACAGAAGCAGUCUGAAUCCAUUUGUGAAGCAUGGGAGAGAUUCAAAGGCUACACUAUACAGUGUCCACACCAUGGUUUCAAGAAGGCUUCACUACUCAGCACACUCUACAGGGGAGUUUUGCCCAAGAUCAGAAUGUUGCUAGACACUGCCUCUAAUGGGAAUUUCUUGAAUAAGGAUGUUGAGGAAGGCUGGGAAUUGAUAGAGAACUUAGCUCUAUCUGAUGGUAACUAUAACGAGGAUUUUGAUCGCUCCAACAGAAGCAUUGGAGAUCCGGAUGCAAAGCAUACUAAAGAGAUGGUAAAGGCUCUCAAUGACAAGCUGGAUCAAUUUCUGCUUACUAACCAGAAACCAGUACACUAUAUCACUGAAGAAGAGUACUAUCAAAUCCAAGAGGGGGAGAACACUCAGGCUGCAGAAGUCAGUUAUGUUCAGAACCAAGGUGGCUACAACAAGGGCUACAACCCCUAUAAGCCUGCUCAUCCUAAUCUCUCUUACCGGAGCACGAAUGUUGCAAACCCUCAAGAUCAGGUUUACCCUCAGCCACAACAGAACCAGUCCAAGCCAUUCAUACCGUACAAUCAAGGCUUUGUCCCAAAGCAGCAGUUUAGUGGCGGUUAUCAACAAUAUAAUCCACCACCCGGUUUUGCACCGCAACCCCAGCCAGCUCCACCCGCCCAAGAUCAAGACAUGAAGCAAAUGCUUCAGCAGCUUCUACACGGCCAAGUAGCUGGUGAUAAGAAGCUGGCUGAGCUUCAAAUCAAGAUUGAGGCUCUAAACUCCAAGGUGAAGUACAUGGAAAGCCAAGCUGCUUCUACUUCUGCACCUACACACCCCGGACAACUACCAGGGAAAGCUAUUCAGAAUCCGAAAGAGUAUGCUCAUGCUAUUCAACUCCGCAGUGGUCGAGAGCUGCGUGCUCGACCUAACCAAGCUCCUGUCACUGAGGACAGUGAGAUUCAAGAUGGGGAGGAUUCUCUUCAGAAUGAGACUCAAGUAGAAGACACCACUAAGCUUGACCAAGAUGCUGUACCUAGGGAUCAAGUUAAGAGCCCCCAGAUCAAAGAAACUGUUGUUGAUAAGAGUAAGAAGAAAGCUUUCGUUCCACCACCCUACAAGCCCAAAAUACCAUUCCCAGGAAGAUUCAAGAGGGAUAUCAUUGAGAAGUACAGAGCCAUGUUUGCUAAACACAUCAAGGAGAUUGAAUUGAGGAUGCCUCUCAUUGAUGCUUUCAUGCUGAUUCCGGAUUCUCACAAAUACUUGAAGGACAUGAUAAUGGAGAGAAUUCAGGAAGUACAAGGAAUGGUAGUGUUGAGCCAUGAAUGCAGUGCUAUCAUACAGAAGAAGAUUAUACCGAAGAAGCUUGGGGAUCCCGGCUCAUUUACUCUACCUUGUUCACUAGGCCCUUUGUUCUUCAACAAAUGCCUAUGUGAUCUAGGUGCAUCAGUCAGUUUGAUGCCACUCUCAGUAGCAAGAAGACUCGGGUUCAUCAAGUACAAGUCUUGCCAAAUCCAACUAAUCUUAGCCGACAGAUCCGUACGAGUCCCUCAUGGUAUGUUAGAGGAUCUACCAGUCAGAAUAGGAAAGGUAGAGAUUCCUACAGACUUCGUUGUUUUAGAAAUGGAUGAAGAGCCAAAGGACCCUCUCAUACUAGGGAGACCUUUCUUAGCUACUGCUGGAGCUCUCAUUGAUGUCAGAAGAGGUAAGAUCGACUUGAACCUCGGUGAAGAUUUCAAGAUGACAUUCGACAUCACUAAGACGAUGAAGAAACCUACUAUUGAUGGACAAGUGUUCUACAUAGAAGAAAUGGAUCGUUUAGCUGACGAACUACUUGAAGAGCUUACUGAAGAAGACUACCUACAGAGUGCUCUUACCAAAGACGGGGAAGAGGGGUUCUUACACUUAGAGACAUUGGGGUAUAAGAAGCUGCUAGACUCCCAUAAGGAAGAGGAAUCAUCAGAAUACUUUGAGAAGUUAGAGGUGCCAGUAGCAGAAGUCAGUACAGUGGAAGAAGACAUUUCAGAACAGUCUCGACCUACCUGCUCGACCACACGUCGAGUAGGCCUUCCCAGCCCAAUUCCUGAAGAAGUCAAGGAAGCAGACUCGACCUGCAAGCUCGACGACACGUCGAGAUGGCCUUCUCCUACCUCAGAUGACUGGUCUGAGCUCAAUGCACCUAAGGUAGACCUCAAACCACUUCCGCAAGGGCUAAGGUACGCAUUUCUUGGAACAAACUCUACUUACCCUGUGAUCAUUAAUGCUGCAUUGAAUGAUGAUGAAGUGGAUUUGCUGUUGUCUGAACUUAAAAAGUAUAGAAGAGCAAUUGGUUAUUCAUUGUCUGAUAUAAAGGGAAUCUCACCUAGUUUGUGCAUGCAUAGAAUCCAUCUCGAAAAUGAAUCUCAUUCUAGCAUUGAACCUCAAAGGAGAUUGAAUCCUAAUCUGAAAGAAGUAGUUAAAAAGGAGAUACUUAAACUAUUGGAAGCGGGUGUAAUCUACCCUAUUUCAGAUAGCACUUGGGUAUCUCCGGUUCAUUGUGUGCCUAAGAAAGGAGGUAUGACUGUUAUAAAGAAUGAUAAAGAUGAAUUAAUCCCUACAAGAACUAUAACAGGACAUAGAAUGUGCAUUGAUUAUCGAAAGCUGAAUGCUGCAUCUAGAAAAGAUCAUUUUCCUUUACCAUUCAUUGAUCAAAUGCUUGAAAGGUUAGCUAAUCACCAGUACUACUGUUUUCUUGAUGGAUAUAGUGGUUUCUUUCAAAUACCAAUUCACCCUAAUGAUCAAGAGAAAACCACUUUUACUUGCCCUUAUGGAACCUUUGCUUAUAGAAGAAUGCCUUUCGGAUUGUGUAAUGCACCUGCUACUUUUCAGAGGUGUAUGACUUCAAUAUUCUCGGAUUUAAUUGAGGAGACAGUGGAAGUCUUUAUGGACGAUUUCUCUGUCUAUGGCUCCUCUUUCUCCUCUUGUUUGUUAAAUCUAUGCAGGGUUCUAACAAGGUGUGAGGAGACCAAUCUAGUGCUGAACUGGGAGAAGUGUCACUUCAUGGUCAGAGAGGGUAUAGUAUUGGGACACAAGAUAUCAGAGAAAGGGAUUGAGGUUGAUAAGGCCAAGAUAGACGUCAUGGUGCAGUUGCAGUCUCCAAAAAGCGUGAAGGAUAUCAGAAGUUUUCUGGGUCAUGCCGGUUUUUACAGGAGAUUCAUCAAGGAUUUCUCAAAGUUUGCUAGACCACUUACUCGACUUCUCUGUAAGGAGACCGAAUUCAUCUUUGAUGAAGAGUGUAUGAGAGCUUUCAACUUGAUUAAAGAAGCUCUAGUGUCUGCUCCAAUCGUCCAAGCACCAAACUGGGAUCAUCCUUUUGAAAUCAUGUGUGAUGCUUCAGACUACGCGGUUGGGGCUGUGCUGGGUCAGAAGAUAGAUAAGAAGCUCCAUGUUAUCUAUUAUGCAAGCAGAACCUUGGAUGAUGCUCAAGUGAGAUAUGCUACAACAGAGAAAGAGUUGCUGGCUGUAGUCUUUGCAUUUGAGAAGUUUAGAAGCUAUUUGGUUGGAUCUAAGGUUACUGUCUAUACAGAUCAUGCAGCUUUGAGGCACAUCUAUGCUAAGAAGGACACCAAGCCUAGACUGCUGAGAUGGAUUUUGUUACUUCAAGAGUUUGAUAUGGAGAUUGUUGAUAAGAAGGGUAUAGAGAACGGAGUAGCUGAUCACUUGUCCAGAAUGCGGAUUGAAGAUGAAAUCCCUAUAAAUGAUUCAAUGCCUGAAGAGCAGCUGUUAGCCGUCAAGUGCUAUAAAAUGGUGUACAACAAGAAGGAAUUCGAUGAAGCAUUGGCUGUAGAAGAAGAGAAAUUUCCAUGGUAUGCUGACUUUGUGAACUACUUGAUCUGCGGAGAAAUCCCCAAAUACCUUGAUGCUUACCAGAAGAAGAAGUUCUUUAGAGACAUCAACCACUACUACUGGGAUGAACCUUAUUUGUAUAAGAAGGGUACUGAUGGCCUAUUUAGAAGGUGUAUUGCUGAAGAGGAAGUUCAGGGAGUGCUGGAACACUGUCAUGGUUCUGCUUAUGGCGGUCACUUUGCUACCUUCAAGACAGUACAGAAGGUUCUCCAGGCCGGCCUUUGGUGGCCUUCCAUGUUUAAAGAUGCACAUGGAUUCAUUGCUAAAUGUGAUCCCUGCCAGAGAAUGGGGAACAUAACUAGGAGGAACGAAAUGCCACAGACCCCGAUCCUGGAAGUUGAAGUCUUCGACGUUUGGGGAAUUGAUUUCAUGGGACCAUUUAAUCCUGCUUCCUAUGGUAAUAAGUACAUCCUAGUUGCUGUGGACUACGUCUCCAAAUGGGUUGAGGCCAUUGCAUCUCCAACCAAUGAUCAUAAAGUGGUCUUAAAGCUGUUCAAGAGCAUCAUAUUCCCCAGAUUUGGUAUCCCUAAGGCUGUGAUCAGUGAUGGAGGUUCUCAUUUCAUCAACAAGGUCUUUGAGAGUCUGUUAAAGAAGCACGGUGUGAAGCACAAGGUAGCUACUCCUUAUCACCCUCAGACUAGCGGGCAAGUAGAAGUAUCCAACCGACAGAUCAAAGCCAUACUUGCUAGAGUUGUCGGUGUUUCAAAGAGAGACUGGUCUACCAAGUUAGAUGAUACACUUUGGGCUUACCGGACUGCAUACAAGACGCCGAUAGGAAGGACGCCAUUUCAGAUGCUGUAUGGGAAGUCAUGUCAUCUUCCAGUUGAGGUAGAGUACAAAGCAAUCUGGGCUACUAAGUUGCUGAACUUGGAUAUCAAAGAAGCUCAAGAGAAGAGAUCUGUUGACUUGCACGAACUUGAGGAAAUAAGGCUUGAAGCUUAUGAGAGUUCAAAGGUGUACAAGGAAAGAACAAAAGCUUUCCAUGACAAGAAGAUUUCACCAAAGGACUUCAAGGCUGGAGACCAAGUGUUACUAUUCAACUCCAGACUCAAGCUCUUUCCCGGAAAGCUCAAGUCUAGGUGGUCAGGUCCUUUCACUAUCAAAGAGGUUCUACCAUUUGGUGCGGUAUCGCUAUUUACUAAGGACGGGUCAGAGUUUAAGGUGAAUGGUCAGCGGCUUAAGAAGUAUCUCGCAGAUAGCGUCAUUCCUGAAGGAUCUACGGUUCAUCUUCAGGAACCUCAACUCGCCUAAAAGAGUAGUAAAGUCAAGCUAAAGACUUUAAACAAGCUCACUUGGGAGGAAGUCCCAUGUCUAUCCUUGUAAAUAUUAGUUAUUUCCUUGUUAUUUUUGAUGUUUUUGCUUAAGUGUCUCAGGAUAAAGCGUUUUAAGGAAGCCAAGGCGCAAAACAGAAUGGGUGGCCUUGUCUCGACCUGCCCUACUCGACUACAAGUCGAGCUUGCCCCUUGGUGUCACUCCAAACCAAUACCGAAGCCCUACUCGACGUACUAGCUCGACCAGACGUCGAGUUAGCCCAUGAAGCCCAUAAGUACCAGGUCAAUCACCUCCUUUUUCACCCAUCCAUGAGGUAACAACUCCAAUUCACCAUUGUAUAUACCACAUUUCAUUUUGUUUCUCUGUUGGUUUGCCCUGAGUACUCUCUUCCAAAUGCUUGUUACACAGAGGACUGUGUAAUUUAAGUUUGGGGGAGGGCUCAGGGAGUAUUUGACAUUGUGUUUUGUUUUCUUAUUUCAAAUUUUGCAUCAUUGCAUCUAAGGCAUAGAAAAACCAUAAAAAUUUGAAAUUUUUCGAAAAUGAUUUCACAAAAACAGAGUGUUCAUAUAGCUUGCAUUGUCAUUUUAGGAUUGUUUUAGUAUGCUUUCACUUAGGGCUGUUGCAUCAUGCAUUUGCAUUGGAGAUUAUGAUGAUUAUAACCUUGUAAAUAUGCCUAUCCACUAAGUAGAACUCAGUGCCCUGGUUGUUAGUUCUCUAAUGCAUAAUCGACUGAACUUGAAGUAAGACCGCACCAUCUUUUGAAUUCAACGCUUAACUUUCUUGUUUUUAGUCGAAUCUCGCUUUGAUCUGAUGCCAUUCCCUAUCUAUUUGAACUUGAAUUUUGACUUAUAAUUAUCAUGCUGUGCAUUGUGCUAUGAACUCAUGGAUACCUUAAAAUACUUGGACUUUCUUUUACCUUUUGAUCACUCUUGCUAGUCCAAGUAGCUGACUCCCAUCUUUGGAGCAGUUAUUCCCCACCCUUAGCCUUAACCUUCUUUCAAGCCAUUUAUCAUUUGUGUGUGAAUGUGAGGCCUUAUUCCGAUUGAGCUUGGUAGAAAGUGUUAGGUCUGUAACGACAAGGAUAGUAUCUCAUGUAGUUCUGGUUCACGUUAUCUGGACCAGAUAGGACUAGGUGGGUGCUUAAUUCUGGGUUUGGGUUGUGUUUAAAAGAAAGAAAAGGUUGUGUUCAUCAUUGAAAGAAAAGAAAAGGGAAAAGAGUCCUAAGGAGAAGUAGCUAAAGUAAGAGAAGUCUAGUAAAGGAUUUGGGUGUGCUAUAAAGUAAAGGAAAAAAGGGGUUCUGUAAAUAGCUUAAAGAGUUUGGGCAAAAGCCUUGUGUUUAUAGGAAGAAAGAAAAGGGAACCCUAGUUGUUAAAGAAACCUGAUCCGCUAGACAGAGCAGUAAGAAUGCAAAAGGGUAGAGUUAAGUUCAUGAUUCUGGGAUUAGAAAUAGGACCUCUAUUUGGGUUGAUAUUGAUUACAUUCUGGGUAGAUGGGGUCUUAUCCUUGUAUGCAUAACUUGAUACUCACCUUUAGCAUUCUACUAAAGCUCAAUCAUUCUUGAGAGAUCCCCUGUUACGAUUUAAGCCUGAUCUUUAAGGGACCAUCUUUGUCUCUAAAACCUUUACCCUUUAGCCAAAUGUGUUCAUAUCCAUUGCAUAGUAUGAUUCAUGGUUCCAACUUAAUGAAUGUUAAAGGGAAUGUGCAGAUUUGAAUGCUUGAUUUGAUUAAGGCAGAGGUUAGGUUGAGAUGUGAAGGAGAUGGCUAAUGUUUUUAAGUAGGGAUCAGUCAACCUUGCAUUCUAGAAUUAGCAACCUGGACAUUGAAUUCACUUACUCUAUAUGCAUGUUUUGGUUCUGAGUCUCCACCUUCAAACCUCUUCUCCAGCUUGGUUCUAUCUGUUUGCUUGAGGGCAAGCAAGAGCUAAGUUUGGGGGAGUUGAUAUCUCUGUAUUUUACCUCUUUUUAGCACACAUUUCUUAUGCAUUUAGCUUAGUUUCCUCUCUGUUUCACUGCAUUAAUAUUCCUUUUUCAUAAGAUUUUCAUCACUUAGUACGAUUUGCAUUGCAUGGCAUAGCAUGUUGCAUAUUGGAUGAGUUUUAGGUACUUUGGAGCUUAUUUGGGACUUAAUGGAGCAAGGAGGAACCAACACGACCUUGGAGCUAGACUUGGGAUCGAAUUGGAGAAGAAUGAAGUCGUUCAAGAUCACCUGGGAGCAGUCUCGACGUGCAGACUCGACGUCACGUCGAGAUGGACACCAAGAAGCAGCCUGGGAGCAGUCUCGACGUGCAGACUCGACGUCACGUCGAGAUGGACACCAAGAAGCAGCCUGGGAGCAGACUCGACCAGACAGGCUCGACGUCACGUCGAGAUGGACAUCAAGGCGCCACCUUUGAGAAUCACUUGGUCUCGACGUGGCAGGCUCGACGACACGUCGAGUUGGCCUCCACCGACUCUCUAUUUUGUCCUGUAGCCAAUUAGGGCAACCUAGUAUUUCCUAUAAAUAGGGGUACAUGCUAUUGUCCAAAGGAUAUCCCUUUUACCCAGCAGAUAUUCUUCUUUUCUCUCAUAAACCCUAGUUUUUGUAAUCGUUUUUCCUGUUGAUCCUUUGAGUUUUUGGAUUUCGUUUCUUCAUCAACGUUGUAGAUCUGCCUCUUAUCUAUAACAUACUUGCUUUUUAAUGAUUUCUGGGUUUGAAACGUUUUCUGGGUUUUUAUGCAUGAUGUUCUUCAGUGUUCUUGAGUAGUGGAUUAGGGUUUUUGAGGAUGGGAUAGAUUAGGUGUGGAAUCCUUAGUAUAUUUAGGUGGUUAAGUGUAGAAUUGCUUGAUUUCCCUUCUGGUUUAGUAGAUCUUAAUGCUACUUCCUCUCUGAUCAAUUGGAAGUUGAUCUCAGACAUUUCCACACCCAAAAGGUGUUUGAUGAAAUGUCUGAACCAACUAUUCCAGAGAUUUGCAUACUCUAGCCCAAGAGAUUGGAUGUUUAGAAUGCUUAUUGACUCUAUUAGAUUGAAUCUUAAUGCCUGCUAGAUUAUAUUUCUUCAAUGAGAAUUGAGUAUGAAAGUGAUUUAGCUUGAGAAUCUCUGUCACGAGAGUGGAUUGAUUUGUAUUCGAAUCUAUUGUCUAGGGAUAGCUUGAUUGAGUUUGUUAACCACCUAGGUAGACUAAGGAGACUGCCAUAAUCGAUUACCCCAUUCCUCAAGACCCUUUAUCUCUAUUGAUUGUUUAAAUCUUGUUUCUGUUAGUCUCUGUUGACCAUCUCGACCUGUUAGGCCUAGAUCGUUUCUCUGCAUUGUUAGGUUGCUAGUUUCUUUUCCAAAGCUUAUGCAUGAUAGUUUCUGGUCUUUAGUUUACUUCUUGCUCUUGUUUACUUGCUGUUUAGUUCUCUUUUAUUGCUUUUAAAUUCGGUAUUUGCAUGUUAAAUUGGUUGCUUAGGAUCAAUAGAAACACACAAAACCCUUUCACAAUUGGCUUGACUUAUUUGCUUUCUGUUUCAUAUCUUGAAUGCUUGCAGUCACACUGAGAUUGGAUUGAUAACCUAAUAUACUACAAUGGCAUGUGUAUUAGGGAUUGAUACAUGUUAGAGAUAGACAAAAUCUGACUAUCAAUAUUCUCUAUAAAUCUCUUUGAUUAAGUAAUAAGAAACAUUAUUUAUAAAUUUGACCAUUAGCUAUGUUACUUUCAUCUUCAUGAGUUGUUUUCACUAUGUGCAUGUCUCCUUUGGUCAUUGAUUCAUAUGUGUGUUUUGGCCACAGUUCCGUCUAUUCAAUUGCGGUUUUCUUGGUCUAGGUAUUUCAAUAUCAGGAAGCCAAAAGAAAAGAGCUUCCUUUUAGAGCAAGCACUUCCUAUAUUUCAUCUCUUUGUCUUUUAAACUCCUUAUUGUAUUUUGUGUUUUUCAGGAAGACGUCGACAUCUGAUGAACCUAAGCCAAAGAGACUUAGAAAGGCCAAGGAUACGAAGACGAGCUCUUCUAUCUUAAACAUGCCCUAACAACCUCUUACGGCUUCUUUAUCUUCAUGUAAUGUUCAUCGUUUCACACUUACUUUUGUUGAUAGUUGUUUACUCUUUAGGGAUGUUGCUGAUGUUGCCUUUCACUUUGCAGGAAUGAAUUCUGUCAUUCUUUUAGACGAGAGCAUCUAAGUUCUCUCAUUAAGGAUGUAAGACUUUAACUGUGCUCAUUGCUAUGCUUAACUCCUACGUUUAGUGUUUAUGAGAUUUUACCUAACUGUGCUAUUUAUAUAUGAUUGUAGGUUUCAAAGAUCGGUGGUGAAAAGUGGAAUUCUAUGACUGGGGAAUUGAGUUGCUUUAUUAUCUUGUUUAUUCUUUAGUUUCAUGGUGAUUUGUUUACUCUUUGUACUUUGAGAUAUUAGUACUCUUGUUGUGUAUAAGAGUAGUAGUUGAAUUUUUGUAUAAGACUUGUUAUAUAUGUUUUUAAUAAUUUAUGUAAUAAAAAUAAAUUAUAUAAAUUCAAUUAAAUAAAUCUUGCAAAAUAGGGUUCAAAUAUACAAUUAUAUAUAAAUUAAAUUAAAUUUGUAUAGCGAAACAAAUAUGCUAUAAUACUAUAUAAAACAGCACUAAACGUGUGUUACAAUAAAGUAUAUUAGAGCAUUCGAUUAGUGCUAUAAUAAAUCGACAUUUAAUAACAUAUCGAAAAACGCUAUCGUAUAUAGGGGGUCUACCAUAACAGGGGCAUAAAACAGCGUUUAUGAAAACGCCAUUAAUGACGUAUUAUAGCUUUUUUCUCAUGCUAACAAUGUAGAUAUUUCUUGUAGUGUCAUAAACUACUUUUUUUUUUUUACACAGCAAAGUGGUGUUGACAUGCGAGGCUUUAGGGCAGACCGCUAUAGAUUUUGAAGAAAACUAUCGCCAAUAUGGUUGUAUCAAUAUGAUUGUUGCACUAGGUUGGUGGAGGGUUGUGAGGCCAAAUAGGAGGGCUAAUAAUGUGAAGAUUGUGAGUCAUGGAUCAAUAUCAAAAAAUUUUCCCGAACCACACAUAGAAGAAGUUGAAGAAAUCAAAAUGAUGAUUGAUUAAUGGGAGAGAGAAGAAGUUGAAGAAAUCAAAAACUCUUAUUUUUUAUUUAAUUAUUGAUUAAAUUUUAUGUAAUAUUUCUCGAAUAUUUCUCGAAUAGCUAUUACCGUAAAAAUUUAUUUUGUGUUUUGACCAUCCAAUAGUUAUGGAUGAUUCUCAUAUUUUAAGAAGCUAUUCUUAUACCACAUAUUUUAAUUAAAUUUAGGAUAUCCAUCGACAAGUAUCCACCAAAAAUCAUACAUAAACCCUAUACUCUAAACCCUAACCAAUACAUCUUUAAAUAAUAUUCCUAAACCCUAACUAUAAUUUGAUUCUCGUUAGUGUAUUUUUCAUCAUUGUUUCUUGUGGUUUGGUAAAGUUUUUUAGAAGGAAAUUUAUUUAAUAAUUAAUAAAAAUAUUAAGAGUGUUAGUGUUAUGGUGGCAUGCCCUAGACUAAAUUGAAAAAUACAGUAGAGAAGUUGAUGUAGGCUUAGGUGUAAUGAUUCCAGAGUAGCACGGGUGUAGCAAAUCGAAAACUAUAAUGGUAAUAUAUUGGGUAGGAGAAACUACCGCCAAAAAAGUUAAAAUACCAUGGGUUGUGGUUGAAUCGAUAUCCACAUGGAUUGUACUUAUUUCUAUUUGUUUAUUCUAUUCCUUAAUAUUCGAGAAUUGCGCAGCUCAAAGAUUUUAAGAAUCUGACGCAGGCUAUACUGUUCAAAGGGUAGGUAACAUCGUUGUCAUGUCUCAUAAAUGUAGAAAUGUAAUAUGAAUAAUUAUUUAAUUUUUUCAUAAAUAUCUUUAAACAAUUAUUAUUCGUCAUAGCAUGUCCAUCUUACGUCAAUCCACGACUUUUAAUCCAAUGAAAAUAAAAUGAAUUUUGGAAAAUUAACAAAGCUUACACCGUAGAAUAUCGGGAGGGAGUUUUCCCGCCAAAACAAUAGAAACACCAAGGGGAGGGAUAAAUAGAAUAUCCACGUGGAUUGAAUUUAGUUAUUAUUGUUGAGUAUAUAAGUUAACUUAAAAAGAUAUUAAGGAUUUGACGCAAAAUAUGUAUUGGUAACACAUACCAAGGAAGUGAAAAGUAAAAAGAUUUUCAUCGUUGUCAAAUCUAUGAAUUGAAAACAAAUUUUUAUCAAUCACUAAUAUUUCUAAAACAUUUUACUCACCAUUUUUACCAUGAUUUUAAAGCAACGAUUAAUUAUUGUUUUUUUAUGAAGUCAUCAACCCGUUUAUACUCAGCAUAUAUAUCAAUUCAUCUCGUAUCCACAACAUUAUAUCCAUGUAUAUAUAUAUAUAUAUAUAUAUAUACAUAUAUAUAUAUGGUAAUCCAAUGAAUAUAUUAUCAAAGCGGGGAAUUAGCUAGCAACACGAGUUUAGGUUAAACAUGGGUGACUCUAUAAAUAGGACAUAAACCAUAACACAACCUAUCCAAAGUGAAAUUUGUUUUGUAAUUCUGAUUAUGAUUGGAGAUUCACAAGAAAGCUUAACUAUGAGUGGUGUUCUCGAAAGCAAUGAAGAGAGCGAGGGUUCAAAUGUCAUUGAGGUUGUUGUAAUGUGUUUUUAGAAUAAUGCUUAUGUAAGAAUGAUAGUUUAAAAAUCUGUUUUAAUUUUGUAGGAGAUUCCAAUGAGGGAAUUUCACAUUCCUCAGCCGUUAAUGGAAAUAAUCGUGAGUAAGGUUGGUGAAGAUGGUGUUGAUGCGUUGAAGAACUUGUUGCUCGCUGGGAGAGAGGGGAAGGAUGUUGUUCUGUCGAAAAAAACCUUAGCAUCUGUUCGCAUCGACAUGGACAAUCAUUUCAUGUGGUGGUCAAUGCCACAUUCAAAGUACUACACUUUCUUCCAAAAGUGUCUUGCCGCGAAUAAUCCAUAUGCGAAGUUUGUAGAGAAGAACAAAGGAGUGGCUUAUGAGUCGACGAUAGGGUAUUUUCAAAUGAGAUGCCGUUGGAAGGUCUGCCGCAAUAAACGCUGCGGGGGUUUGAUGAACCUGGAUGACAUGAAAAAGUGCGUGGUGCAGCCACCUUUUAAGCGGGAAAGAACUGGGAGGCCAAGGUGCCGUAUGUGCAACAAAGCUGGGCACAGGUGUAUGGAUUAAGGAUUGUAGGAUGUUGCCGGGAUUAUGGGGAAGAGUUCAUGAAUAUUAUGAUCUAUUUUUUUUUGGAAUGUUAUUUGGUUAUAAUCCAAUAUAUAAGCGGGAUGUUGUUUUUGGUUACCUAUUAGUUUAAAGUUGAACGGGAAUGUAAAACUUUUAAGAUUGUUGGGAUGUUUUUGUUAAUUUUGAUGUAAGAACAUUGUUUUGCUGUCCAUGUAAUGUUAUCCAUUUAAUAGUUAAUUUUCUAUUUGAAUUUUGUUUGACUCCUUUUUAUAUUAUAUUUGGUUAUUGUAAUAUAUUAUAAUCAAUUAGAUAUUAUCCAUAUAAUCAUAAAUUAAAAAUUUAAAACGUUUAAAUAAAAUUUAGAAAAACUAUUUCCACCUCUGUCAAACCUUUUAAUAUCAACGGGGAUUUAGUAAGGUAAGAGCGGAAAAAUUCACGCCAAAACAAUAUCCACGUGGAUUGCAUUUGGGGUAUUUUUGUUGAUUAUAUUGGGAAAUAUUUUAAAGUGUCAAAUUUAAAAUAUUUAAAAAAGAAUAUGACCUCGUUGUCAUGUCUCAUAAAGUAAAACAAAUUUUUAGGAACAAUUUAAAUUUAUAAAUUAUAUUUAUAGAAUUAGAAGCCAAAUUUCAAACCAACGUCGUAAACAAAGAAAUGGUUUUUAUGAAGUAGUAAAUCCAUAUCCAUUGCCACAACCCGUGUAGCAACUCGUAACCACAAUAUUAAAUCCAUGUGUAAAGAUAUUGAUAUUUUAAGAGAACUCAUAUUUUAAUCCAAUAGAAAUAAAAUAAAUUAAGCGAAUUAGCCACCAUUAUGAGGUAAGGUUAAACAUAUAGGUUUAAUAAAGUCUAUAAAUAGGAUAUAAACCGAAACACAACCUAAUCCAAAUAUCAGAAAUUUGCAUUUCUUGUUAAAAUGGGCGAUUUACAAGAAAGCUUAACGAUGGGAGGUGUACUCCAAAGCUAUGAGGAGAGCGAGGGUUCAAAUGUCAUUGAGGUUGUUGUAAUGUGUUUUUAGAACGAUGCUUAUGUAAGAAUGAUAGUUUAAGAAUCUGUUUUAAUUUUGUAGGAGAUUCCAAGGAUGGAAUUUCACAUUCCUCAGCCGUUAAUGGAGAUCAUUGUAAGUAAGGUUGGUGAAGAUGGUGUUGAUGCGUUGAAGAACUUGUUGCUCGCUGGGAGAGAGAGGAAGGAUGUUGUUCUGUCGAAGAAAACCUUAGCAUCCGUUCGCAUCGAUAUGGACCAUCAUUUCAUGUGGUGGUCAAUGCCACAUUCAAAGUACUACACUUUCUACCAAAAGUAUCUUGCUGCGAAUAAUCCGUAUGCAUAGUUUGUAGAGAAGCACAAAGCACUGUGUUAUGAGUCGACGAUAGGGUACUUUCAGAUGAGAUGCCGUUGGAAUGUCACACAUGAUAAACGCAUGGUGGAUGACAUGAAUGUGUGCGUGGUGCAGCCACCUUUUCAGCCCGGAAGGGUCGGGAGGCCAAGGUGCCCUAGGUGCAAGAGAGUUGGGCACAGAUUCAACAGGUGUGUCGAUUAAGUUAUGGAGGAUGUAAGCGGGAUGUUGGUGUAGAGUUCAUGAAAGUAUGAGCAAUGUUUUUUGAUAAGUUAUUUGGUUAUAAUCCAAGAUGUAAGCGGGAUGUUGUUUUUAGUUACCUAAUACCUUUAAGUUGCAGGGGAAUGUAUAACAUUUAGGAACUUUGUUUGUGUCCAUUUAAUGUUAUCCAUAUAUUUCUUAAAGUUCAAUGUCCGGCAAAUUAAAUAUGGAAUGAGAUAUUUUCUUUCGUCCAUCUAUUGUUAUCCAUAUAAACGUUAUUGUGCAAUGUCAAACCUUUAUAAAGUUUGUAAAUAUUUUGGUCAAAUUUAAGCAAAGAAUUCUAGUUUAUGGCCAUGGGUUAUUAUCCAUAUAAUAGUAAUAAAAUAUGUAAAAGCCCCGAGAAAAUGUCGUUUUGAUUGGUUUGGAAGCAUGGUUGAAAAAAUUAUAGCCUGCCCAUAGGAAUAAUAGGUUAAAAGUAUCUCGUCCACAAACGAGCAUCAGACGUAGCAAAAGGUAUUGAUGUGGAGUGUCACUCUUCAAGCAUUACACAACAGAUAAUUCAAUGUAAAAGGUGUCAGUAUUGGCUAACGAGAUGUAUGUGGCCUAAAGCGUAGGAAUAGGUUAUAGGUACAUAAAUUAAUGUUUUUAUAAUUAUGGCUGAGUUGACAAUUAGAAAGUUUAAAUAUAUUUAAUUGAAUUGAUGGCGUAAACGAAAGCUAUUUAGCUUUUAUUUUUUUUUUUCAAGAAAUGGGACUGAAAAAGUGAAGUUGGGUUGAAUAGAGUAAUUAUAGUUAACCGAGGAAACGGUGGAAACUACAACUAUAAUGGAUGAUCCUUUAUAGAUUGGGAAUAGAAUCUGUCAAUUAAAAUGCAACAUUACAUAUAUCAUCACACAACAACUACUAUGAAAAUAGUUUUCCAAGUCCUAAAAAAUUAAAAAGGAAAAAAAUAAAACAAUGAACACAGCGAAAACAACAAUGUUUUUCAUACAUCUAAGUUGCGUUUUCAAGUCUUCAAUAUCUUUCUGAAGAACAGAAUCACAGGCCCGCGUCUCUCUGACAAAGUGUUUAUGUCGGAAUCACAAAUAUUUAACCCUUUUUGCAAUGUGAGUGUAGCACCCUCAAUGUUAUCCACUUUCUUAAUCAACUCCUCAAUCUCUUCUACCAUACAUGUAUCCGUCCAUUUGAACAAAUGGUUCCUAUUCUCCUGUGUAAUCGGAAAUUAUUUCUGAUAUAAAUGUAGCAAAAAUAAUAUAAGAUAGUUGAUUUACUUACAGGGGAUCCCAGAGGACAUGCAUGAAACAAGCGACCAGAGUUUCUUGGAGUUGCUGAGGUUUUCAUCACAACUUCCUCGCCACAGGGGCAGAGUUUCGGGAUACCUCCAAAUCGAUCUACCAUUUUCUUGUUUGGACCUUUAUGUUGGAGGAGAACAAAAGAAAAUUCUGCUCUUCCGCUUCUUGUAAAGAGUUUUCUCAAACCAAUUUCUUGUUAUGAUGAAAUCCCUAGAUUUAGAAUUUAUUCCUUUCUGACAAUAAAAAAAAAAGAAUUUAUUCCUAAAUUUGAACUACGUCGUUUUGGUGUAAGAUGAGUAUGAGUAGUUCUAAUAUUGUCUUAAAAAAGAAAAAACAAAUUUGCCCAUAAAGCAUUUUGUUACAUUAUCUCAUGUCAUUGUAAGAGUCCAUGAAUACUAAUCUACCAGUAACUGACAUAAUAUAAUUCGUAGUAAUUAGUUGUCAAACAUUAUUUUGAAUACCCAAAGCUGGUAAAUCGGAAGAUGUUAGCCGUGUGGUCUGUACUCAAUGGAUUAUAAAACAGCGUAUCAAUAAAAACAUUCAUUUGAAAGGCAACUGCAGAUAAAAAUGUACAAGUGAUUAUCGAAUGCCUUUAUCGAAUAUCAUUGUAAGAGUCCAUGAAUACAAAUCCACAAUCUACAAAAUGAAAUAACAUUCGUAGUAAUUAAUUGUUUAACAUUUACUUAGUACAAGACGCUGGUAAAUCGGAAUAUAUCAGCCGUGUGGUUAGUAAACAAUGGAUUGCAAGACGUGUAUGAGUAAAAACUAGGGGUGGGCAUUCGGGUAACCAGUUCGGGUUCGGGUAAAACCCGUUCGGGUUCGGGUUGAAUGGGUAAUGAAUUUAUGGUCCAUUCGGGUAUUCCUAUGGUUUCGGUUCCGGUCCGGUUCGGGUACUGUCGGGUUCGGGUCGGUUUGGGUAAUACCCGAAGUUUAAAAUCACUUUACAUACUCAAAGUCUCAAAUGAUCAAAUAAGAGUAAAUUCCAAUCCAAAAUCACAUAAAUCCGAUUAUUCGAAAAUGAAAAACAUAGAACAAGAUAGAACAAGAUCCGGUGAUGCAUAAAUGAUGAGUGAUGACUUUGUUUUGAAUCUUUCUCUCCUGACAAGAAAAAACAAUCAAAUGUUACUUACCUUAAUCACUCAAAAGUCAAAACCAUGAAAGUCAAUGUAAUUACUUACCUUAAUCAUUCAAAACCAUGGAUGUGGAAUUCAGGUUCAAACUCUACAUCACAUUGACAAGUUAAACAGAUUAUAAUCAAACUUUGAAACUGUAAUUGGUAAGAAAAAAACUAAAAGAGAGUUCUAGGAAAAAAAUUACCUCUCAUAAGCUCAUCUUCAUCCACUUGAUCUGCAAGCAGUUCUUUAAUUGUUGACACUCCUCUUUCAUUGAUAUGAAUCUCAGAUUUUAACCAUUGCUCGGUGCACAUCAACACUUCUAUCAUGUAAUGUGUUAAGCAGCUUCUGAAUGGAUCUAACACUCUACCACUAGUGCUAAAUGCAGAUUCUGAUGCCACAGAAGUCACUUGCAUAGCGAAUAUAUCCUUAGCUAUUAGAGACAGAACUGGAAACUUCCCACUGUUGAGCUUCCACCAUGACAAGACAUCAUACUCUAUUCCUUUUAAAAUUUGCGGAGUCUCCACAGCCUCAUUCAAGUAUAAAUCCAACUCAUUAGAUGAUUUAUGAAUACCUGUUUCUUUCACAAUAUCAUCAAAUAAGUUUUCUAUAUCCUCUAAUAUAAGACCAUUACCCACGACUGUUUCAACUUGCUCUUGGGACUGAGAACACGCUCCUUGUGACUGAGAAGAUGCCAUUGAAUUACUGCCUCCAUUUUUAUUCAACAAACUUGCUCUGCAAUACUCAUCAUACAAAUCCUUCAAGAUUUGAAUCACUGAUUCUGAAAGAAGAGUAGCCUCUAUACUACCUGUACCAUACAUCUUAGCAAAACAGAGCUCAGCAAAUUUCAUCUUCUUUCUAGGGUCAAAAACACUAGCAACCAUCACCAACUUAUUCAUUUCAACUUGAGCACCAAACGGAUCCCAAUAUUUCUUCACCUUUCCUAACAUUGCUAAUGCUUUCUUCUUAAGCUUUUCAUCAGACUUUUUCUCUGUGUUUAAGGCAGUUAAGUUUCUAGCAAUGUUGACUAUCUCACUGUAGAGCUUAUGAGAAGUAACAUAAGUUGAACCUGAAAAGCAGCUGCAUCCCAAUCAUCUGCCAUAGGUGGUCCAAUCCUUUUAGUUCCAUCCACCUUUUCCUCAAAGUAGUCAUUGUAGGGUUUAUCCUCAGCCUCCAUUUCCUCAAAAGCAACCCUAAACUGCACAGCUUGCUCUAGCAUGAGAUAAGUAGAGUUCCAUCUGGUCUUCACAUCUAAAGGCAAGCUACCUCUUUUUAUCCUUUUAGCAUCACAACGCAAAUCAAAUGAUUUAAGUCUGUUUGUUGAAGACCUCACAUACUGAACCCCAUUGCGAAUACCAACCACACUACUAUUCACUUCAUGCAUACCUUCCUUUACAACUAAAUUCAGGAUGUGAGCAGCACACCUUAAGUGCAUAUAUUCACCAUUCAGUACCAAUGCAUCAUUUCCAAUCAGCUUCAUUGCUUUCUUGAAUUUAGUCAGUGCAGAGCUAUUAGCUGUAGCGUUAUCCACUGUGAUGCAGAACACCCUCCUUAUACCCCACUCAUCCAAAUAUUCCAGAAGAACCUUGCAAAUUGUUGCACCCUUAUGAUCAGUCACAUGCUUGAAUCCAAUAAUCAUCUUCUUUAACUGCCAAUCAGAGUCAAUAAAAUGAGCUGUUAUUACCAUAUAACUCUCUCCAGUAUUGUUUGAAACCCAUAUGUUUGUAGUCAGUGACAACCUCUGCUUGUUCUUCCCAAGAAUCUUCUUCAUAGCUGCUUUCUUCUUAACAUAAAGCAACACAAUUUCUCUUGCAGCUGUUCUCCGAGAAACUGGUUUACACAGUUGAGCUUUAGAACAGAAAUGUCUCCAAGCCACACUCUCUAUGAAAGAUAAGGGUAAUUCACCUAAAAUCAACAUCUCAAUAGUAGCUUCUCUAAUCACUAAAUCAGAGACCUUAUACACUGUAAGACUACUACCAUCUGCACCAUUACGACGACCUAAAACAGUUUGAGAAUGUUCUUUAUUGGUACUUUCCCAUACCUUGAAUGCUUUGCAGGUCAAUUCAAGAUGCUUCUUCAAGGUAGAGGUGCCAGACUUGGAAGGACAAGCCAACUCUUUCCCACAGUAAUUACAAUUGCACUUGUCUUGAUUCUUUUUCUGUCUGGUGAAGUGAUCCCAAACAUAGGACCGACUAGUUGUCUUCUUUUUCUUCUUAGAACUACUACCUCCGUCACCUUUAUCUCCAGUUUCUCUCUUUUUACGCUUCUCCUUUCUUCCAGAAGUAGGAGUUUGAACCUCAUCUUCAUCAUGUUCACUUAAAUCAACAUCAUCAAAAUCUUCUGGAGUUUGAGUUUCAUUUGACGCCAUCUACAUUAACAAACUUGACAAAAUUAACAACAAAAACUUGACAAAACUUGACUCAAAUCAACAAAAUUGACUCACAUCAGAUAAAAAUUAAAAAUACUAGCUGCAUUCUUCAUAAAUUACAUGUAUUCUGAAACAUUUUUUAUUGCAUAAUAUCAAAUUUAUAUGAUUUACAUAGGUUUUUUUACAGAACAUGAAAGCUUAUGUCUUGCAAUAAGAAAAACUAUCAUAGCUUAUGGCAUGUAAUAAGAAAAGCUAUCAUAGUCUAAAGAUUCAGAGUUCAGACAUUUCAUUGAGAAGAGAGAAACAAAGAGACAAAGACACCAGAAAAAUUCAAGACUUAAACAUCUACACAAAGACAUCGAUGAAUCUUUCAAAAAGCACAAACAUUUGACUGUAUCUUACUAUCUUUCAUGACAUUGACUAAAUUAAAUCGGAACAAGAAUCAUCUAGCCUUUAACAACAAGAACUAGAAUGAUACGGAAUAAAAGCUGCAAUCAACAAGAACUAAAAUCGAAAAUUCGAAACCAUUUCACGACAGAUCUAUUGCUACAACUAUCAAUUGCAAAAUAAAAUCGGCACUAGAAUUGCAAAAGAAAAACUCGAGACCCAGAAUUACAAUUGCAAGAACCCAAGAACUAACCUCUGAAUGAUUUCGCGAUAGAGCUGUUGGUGUUGAGUUGAUCUGAAUAUUCGGUGACGGUAAGGUCGCUGAGAGUGUAGCAACGAGGGUUUCCAGUUUUGAAUUUUGAUAAUGUGACUCAAGAAGAGAUUUUAAUCAAGGAAGCCGAGAUACUAGGGCAGUAGGGGAGAAGGAAACUCAAGCGACGAAACUUAAAAAUUAAAAUCUAGGGUAUAUACAUAUAAGAGUAUAUCUAAUUAUCUAUAUAUAUAUAUAUAUAUAUAUAUAUAUAUAUAUAUAUAUAAAUAUAUGUUUAUUGUUUCGGGUUUAUGGGUACCCGAAAUGGGUAACGGGUAAUACCCGACCCAAACCGAUACCCACGGGUAAACCAAUACUCUACCCAAUGAGGUAAUUUUCUAAUACCCUAACCCGUUCCAACCCGGUUUUUUCGGUUCGGGUAUCGGUUCGGGUAUCGGGUCCGGGUUUUUUGCCCAGGCCUAGUAAAAACAGUCAUUUUAAAAGGCACAUUAAGAUAUAAAAUAGAUCAUGAAACAAAGGAUUAUCCAUAGGAACAAAAGCUAACACAAGUCAUGGAUUUGAAAGACAUAAAAUAGAACAAAGCAAGAUGGGCAAACAUCCAAAGCCCCAUAAUGGACUAAACCACAAUCUGGUAUAACGUUUAAGCCCCUGUACCCUCGGUAAAGAUGCUUUCCUGUUGGACCCAUGUCUGAUAUCUGAGCCAUCACCUGGUCAGCGCAAUUAACAGCUUCUUGGAAAGUUGAAAACUUCUCCAAAUACUUUUUGAGUAUCAUACUUCCUUCACAAGGAUUUCCGCAUAAAGCAUAGAAAAUGCCAAAAGCAAAAUAGGAAUGUAUGUUGUGAAUCGCAGCUUCACCAAGCAUAUCAAGAGAUUGAACAGAAGGGCCAACAAGUGCAGCUAGUCGUAACCCUUCAAUGUAUUUGGCAGUGUUGUUGUUAGAAUGUAGACAUCUAAGCAAAAAUGGGCGGUACGGUGAGCCUUCAAUGCAUAAAGAGGCGACAAAAACAAACUCAUCAAGACAAACCUCCUUUAAUACUUCAGCAGAAAAUACGAUGGCUGACCAUUCAGGGCCAGCCGCGAUGAAUGGACCGAGAUGACGAAAACCAGAAAUACCAAUCCGACGAACUAUGUCUGUAACCAAAGGUAAAAGAAUGUAAGAAGACAUUUAGAAAAAAAAACACAGAACAAUCCUUUAAAUAUAGAUUUUUGGAGAUUUGGGUUUAAUUUGAAGCACUUACUGAAAGAACUGAUAUUUGCCAACAGAAAGCGAUUAAGGAGAUGAAGUCGGAGACCCUAGAUUUAUAAGGAUAUUUCCCAAAUUUAAAACGGCAGCGUUUUAAUAAGUUGUUCAUUGUGGACAGCAUAUUAAAUGAUUAAUCCAUUAUGUACUAUCCACACAAGUAAAUCAGACGACAAAGUGUAAAACUAAGACAAAAAUUCCCCAGUCCAUAGUUCUGCAGAUAAAUUUAGGGUUUAGGAAACAUAAGGUGAUUUAACAUCAAUUGAGCAGUAUGUGGUUUUACUCUUGUUCACCCAUGUGGAAUAUUACUGAAAUGGAAUGUGUCCAUGUAAACAAAUCCACAUGCCAUAUAUUGUAAUAAUAUAUAAGAAAAUAUAACAUAAAAAAGAUAGGGGAGCUAGAUUAAUAGUAGAUGAUAAUGUACAUUUUACAUCAAACAAAUAGAGCUAGCCGAGAAAUAAGUUUGAAAGGAAAAGGAAAGGAGAUAAGAAGCAACAAUGUCUACAACAAAUUAAAUAGAUUAGUAGUUGAGCUACCUAUUUGUAAAGAGGUGCCACAAGUUCUUGAAACAGAUCUAUAGCAUAUUGACCCCUGAAAUCAUCAACAAUUUCAUUUGUUAUAAGAGCCAUUUUCUCUGCAUCUCCACCAUUGACAUAUAUUUCAAUGAACUUCAUUGACACAGGUCCACAGUCCCCACUCCUCUUGUUGACAUAGAUCUCUUUCAUUCUUGUCCAACGGAAAGGAUCCAAGCCAUGUACCUGAGACAGACGUGGCUUGCAAAAUUUGUUAAUUAUAUACGGGAGUUGGAUCACAAUAGGUGCCAUGUACUCAUUGACUUUGUCAUCAUCGUUUAGAGGGUAGUUUGGAUCAAGUAUGUCGACACACCAUGUGCCUAAGUUGAUUGCCAGUCCUACCCAAUGCUUGUUUUUCCAAAUCAUUGGCAUGAAGAUAAGAUCUAUUUCUUCAAACCAUUCUGAUGGAGAUCCAGGAAUAGCCCGCUUGAACUGUUGAUUUCAUUGAACGCGCAACUUUUGUUUUACAGCUAGGAAAGAAGGGUACUUCCCUUGUAGGUAGUUGCCUAGCCACGGUUUGAUAAUUACAGCGCGUUCUUGAGAGAGUGUCAAUAUGUGCCUUUCAUCUAGGAAAGUUCCUAGAACCUCCAUGUGCUGCAAAAUGAUAGAAAUGCGCAAGUGGAAUAACCAUAUUAAACAUUGGGGAAAUAAAAUGUAAUUAAGUAUGGGACAUGUCUUACCAUGGUUGGUUGCCUGAAAUUAGAACAUAAUGUUAGCUGGGCAAGCUGGACUAGGAAUUUGUUGGUUAUCACAAUAUCACAGCGUGUUAGGUGUUGCCUGAAAUUAGAACAUAAUGUUAGAUAGUGGAAAAGGAAACCAAAGUAAAAGGAAAAGGAAUGUCAUUACGUAUGUGGUGCCUUUCGAAGGAUGUCCAUGAACACUUUGAAAAAUGUUUUGUCCAAACGAGGUAACAGGUCAUACUGUUUUGUAGGUGAGUUUCUGGGAAGAUUUAGAACCAACUCAACAAGUUUGGCCUCUUUGUUUGACAAAGUAGUUGGCUUCCGUUCUCUUGCAGGAGAUGAAUCACUGACAUCAACAACAUCUCCACUUUUGACAGCAGAAUCCUGAGAUUUUAUAAGAAAAUAUAAUGAGAAAACCAUAAAUUAAAACUACAGUCAAACGAUCACCAGGGUAUUAUACCUCAUCAUCAUCAUUUUCAAUAUCAUCAUCUUUUUCUUGUUGAGUAUCUGCGGCCAUCUACAUGAUGAAGAAACAAGUGGUAAGAUAAACAAAAUGGGCAUAAAGUUUUAUGUGAAAAUACAAGAUAAAAAUACCUUGGUCACUGGAGAAACUGGGCCUUGAAUGGAGAAGUUGAGAGAGUCUUGGAGAACAGGAGGGUCAAUUUUGGGAGGAUAGAUAGAGGUGGUUUCAAUCUGGUGACAGGUUGUUAGAAGAUUAUUAAAACCAGGUAUCCACAUGGAUACGGAUCGGAUGAACAAGGAAUAAUUAAAAUAACAGUUAGCCAUGUGGACAUCGUAGAUUAAAAUUACCUCCGAGUGUUUUACCAAAACAAAAUUUGUUUCAAUACCAUCAGACUUGAUUCCAUCGGGUAGAUCAUCUUGGGGGGUUAUCUGCAACGUAAUUAAAUUGUUUAACAUUUGCUUUUAUAGAGUGAUGUUAAUUAUUUUGUAAGGUUUAGAAUUUAUAAAUUAAUGUAACUGGAGCAAAGGAAGUUACAAAGUUAAGUAUCGACUUAAUUGACAAACCAUAAAAAAUACAACUAUUCACGUGGACAGCCUCGUUUAAAAUACCUCAGAGUUUUGAAGUUUAUCAGAAUUUGAUACAAUAUCAUCAGAAAUGUUUGCAUCAGGUUGAUCAUCUUGAGGGAUUAUCUGAAUCGUCAUUAAAUUGGUUUAGUAUUGGAAUUUAUGGAAUGAUGUUUGAAACAAAUCUUAAAAAUUGGAGUAUGGUAAAAGGUUACCUUUGAAUCAUCAACAGCAAGAAACUCUUCUUGUGAUGGUAGGGAAUCCACAUCUGCAGCAGCAAUAGUAGGACUUAUAGACUUGCAAAUUGAUUGAACCAAUGUGUCAACGUUAUGCGCGAAGGCCAAGUCUCCAAUGUUGAUCUCCUGGAUCAGAUUGAAAGUGGUAAAAGAUUAACCAGAUGAGUAAAAUACAUUUAUGGGAAACUCAAACGAUUGAUAAACCCCUUAGUGGAAAAGAACCUCAGAUCCAUCAAUAGAAGAGGGUUUCUUUGCAGUAUCAUAAACAGCAGCAAGUUGAGGAGAAGGCAGAGGCUAGGUAUAAAAAUAGUUAAAUAUUUUUAUGUACAGACAAAUAUUCUAAAAAUCUUACCUCGUCUCUAAGUUUAGACUCAGGAUUGAUCAGACUGUGGAGCCUCUGUGCUAUCAGCAGAUAAAUACUUUGAUGGAGAUUCUUUCUGAAAAGAUUAAUAAUCUAAGAAGACAUGAUCCAUUUAGGAAACAAUAGAGUAAAAGAUUCUAAAAUCCCAUUACCAGAUAGUUCUGAGGGGAAGUAACUGAAUCCAUGUUAGUAUUCCCGGAAUUCCCUGCCUGUAUGAUAAAAAUGUGAUAAGUGUAAUACGUUAGGAAAAGUAAGUCAAAUGCGAUGUUUGGAAGCAACAAGAGUAGCAGGUUGUCCUGACACCAUCAACAAGAAUUGACCUGUUGAGAAGUUAUUCGACGCCAUGUCAUAUCAUCAACAAGCAUAGCAGGUUCUCCUGACACUGCAUUGUCUUCCUCAUGCAUUGAAGUUAAUGGACUUGAAGGGGGAGUUCGGAUGUUUUGAGAAUCUACAGCAGCCUUCACAGGAGAUUCAGACAGAAUGGGGUGUUUAGCUGCUUUAUGUACUUUUCUGGAUGGAGGACAAGUUGACUGUCUAGAGCGAGAGAAUUUGUGAUAUUGAAAUUUUGGCAUCUUCAGAGAUCUCAGGGCCUUAAUCUUUUUCAGAAGAUUCACAUUCUGAGCUCUUAACUUCUUAACACUCUCCGCAAAUUCAUGUCUUACAGCAUCCAACUACGAAUUCACCCACAGUUUUAUAUCAUCUGCCUCAUCAUCAUCAACCAAAUCAAACUUACGCUUCCUGCCUCGCCUUGAAGUAACGACUUUCGAUUUUGAUUGAGUUCCCUUUGAAGAAGGAGUUGGUGUAUGUUUCCUUUUCCUAUUGACUAUAUGUUUCUUGUGUUCAACAACAGGUUCCUUUUCAUUGACAGAAAUGAGCUGUAGAUCAGCAUAGCCACCAAGCCACUCUUUUUUGGUGAAUUCAUGACAUUUCCUUAUCUGCUCAAUCAAAUACAGCACAUUCUUGUCUCUCACUUCAUCAUCCCAAUCUCCCCAUCCUUCUUCGUUGUGGUCAACAAAAAGCAGAGGAGUAACAACCAACUGAACAGACAAAAACAAUAAUGAGAACACAUGAAAGUUAAAAACUAUAUAAAUGUUUAAAAUAACUUACAUCAGGAUCACGUUCAAGGAGAUGAACUUCAUUUAGGGAAAGAUUGUUUUUGGGAAUACCAAUUGAAUGCCAUUCCAAGAAGGUUAUAUCAUCUGAAGAACCAGGAAUCUUGUCAAGUAGACCAGAUAUGUUCCUAUAAGCAAGAAGUUGCAGGCCCAAAGGAAAGCCAUAGAUAGCUAUAGUUUGCUGUUGCAUCUGAUUUGUAAAGAGUUGGAUGGGAUCUUGAAUCUUGGACGCUGCGCGUGACCUUUUUCUCUUCGAUUCUGCCAUUGACGGUUUGUUUCUUCCAGGCCUCAUUACCUGUAUAGUCUUCAAGAAAGAUUCUCUCCCCCAUGGGAAAGAAAGGAAGGAGUCAAUGUUUUCCAACAUAUUCACAUACUUAUAUGUUGGCCGAUGAGUCUGAUUAUUGGCUAUAAGGACUCCAUCAACAAUAAGCAGAACAGCUAGUGGCAGUUUCAAAGGGUCUUCAAUCCCUUUCAAUGCCUGGAACUUAACGGAUACAUCAGCUAAUGUAGCAUUCUUAUCUUUACCAAUCAACACAUCCCAGUAAUCGUUCACCCCAUUCACACGUUUAGGGAAGAAAUCUGGAUCAUACUCCUCGGGGAAUUCACCACAAGGCAACCCAGUUACAGAACCAAACUCAACUAAAGAGAAUCUUAAUGGCUGUCCACCAAAAACCGUCCACAUUUCGUAUUUUUGUUUUGAUAGCAGUUGUCUACAUAACAGAGCAUGAACUAAUUUGCAAGAAAUUGGGCAUUCACUUACCCUUAAACUAAAUAGAGAACCAAAACACGAGUCCAAUAUGGUUUCCAUUUCUUUGGUACCUUCAAGAACAUCACAUAUGACUGUGAGUAUAUCGGGUUUGGAGUAAAUAUUCAGACGAGCGUCGGGGUAACGGUCAGUGGCAAAAAGCCUUGGAGGGAGUCUCAAAUCCCAGGCAAUUGCCGCUUCUUCCGCCGCACCUGCAAAUAAGUUGACAAGUAUUGAUGAAACUAUAGAAUAUAAAGUGAGAUCAAAGAAAAUAAGAUAUCGAUUACCUGUCAUUGAUACUUUUGAGAAAUGGAGAAGUGGAGAAACGGAGAAGAUGACCGCCGUUCUUUUCUCGACGGAAUUGAGUUUCAAUUUAUGUCACGGUCGACGAACUGGGUUUAGAAUUAUCGGAUACUCUUGACGAACUGGAGCUGAAUUUUAGAAUUUACAGGACCUGAAGUUUGUUUACGGAAGUGGAGAAGUGAAGAUUUUUCACCGCCGUUUCUUUUACUCGCCGGAAUAGAGUUUUCUAGGUCAUGGUUACGGGAUACGUUUUCUAGGACUGUAAAAAUUAAUAUUUUUAAUAGAUAACCAUAGAUAUGUAACUAUGGUUAAUGUCAGUUUCAGGGGUUUUUGGUAAAAAAACUUAAAAAACUGUCCACUACCCCUAAACUGCUCUAGAGGGAAAAUGAGUUUGAAAAUUGUGUCCCACAGAGUAAAAUUCUCUAAAUAAUAUUGGAAGAAUAAAAAUAUUUCCAUCUAAAAUAUUUGUUUAGAUCCGCCAUGGAGGUUUACUGAAGUAGCGGAAGCUUUAAGGAUAAAACUAGAGAUCCGUUGAUUCCUCGGAAUACCGGAUAACUAGGGUUUCUCGGAUCUGUUGAUUCCUCAGAAUACCAAAAACGAGAGAAUGUGAGGAAUUCGUUGAUUCUCCGCGAAUACCGAAUCCUACGUCUUCUUAUAAUCGUUGAGAUCUCUCGAGAUCUACCGAAAACAAGGAUUAGAGAAUACUCUUCUCUGAGAAGCUAAAAGCUCUUAAUUUUAUUAAUCAAUUAACUGUCUACAAAAGGAGGCAUUAGCGGCUUCUUUAUAAUAAAACAUAAGGAAACCCUAAAAUCUAUAGAAUAUUCUAGAAUAAUAAUAAUAAUUAAUUAAAAGAUAAUAACAAUAGAUAUUUGGAAUAUUUCCAAAUAUCACGCUGCAUCAGGUCUCGCCGGCCAAGAAAAGAUUCGUCCUCGAAUCUUGUUUCUGCGCUGCAUCAGCUCCCCCCGGCCAAGAAAGAUUCGCCCUCGAAUCUUCAACAGGGUUUUCAGCAUAGAAAAUCUUCGAAAAUUCAGCUUUAUCUCCAUCUUUUGAUUCUGCCCGAUUUUUGCACGAACUGGAUCUGACCCGAAAUUUGCACGAAAUCUUUUUUUCCAAAAAUCUUCAUGAAACAGAUCAUACCCAAAAUUUGCACCAAUCACUUUCUGCACGAUUUUCGCAUUGAUCUUAUCACGCCCGAUUUUUGCACAGCUAUGAUUAUGCACGAAUUUUGCACAUCUAUGAUUAUGCACGAAUUUUGCACAUCUAUGAUUAUGCACGAAUUGUGCACAUAUCUGAUCAUUCUUUAAUCCUGCACAGAUUUCAGCUUGCACGAAUUCUGCACAGAUUUUCUCGAACGCACCAUUGUUGAACACAAAAUCUACAUGAUCAAUAACCAAGACAUCAUCUUCAUAGAUAUCAUAGAUAGGAUCACCGUAGAUUUCCCUGUAACCAUCUUCAAACAAACUUUCUUCUACAAAAGGAUAAAAGUUACCACUCAACAUGAUCACCAGAAUCGUUCUUCGAUUGAGAAAUCAAAGAGACGCAGCUCUGAUACCAACUGAAGUAGCGGAAGCUUUAAGGAUAAAACUAGAGAUCCGUUAAUUCCUCGGAAUACCGGAUAACUAGGGUUUCUCGGAUCUGUUGAUUCCUCAGAAUACCAAAAACGAGAAAACGUGAGGAAUUCGUUGAUUCUCCGCGAAUACCGAAUCCUACGUCUUCUUAUAAUCGUUGAGAUCUCUCGAGAUCUACCGAAAACAAGGAUUAGAGAAUACUCUUCUCUUAGAAGCUAAAAGCUCUUAAUUUUAUUAAUCAAUUAACUGUCUACAAAAGAAGGCAUUAGCGGCUUAUUUAUAAUAAAACAUAAAGAAAGCCUAAAAUCUAUAAAAUAUUCUAGAAUAAUAAUAACAAUUAAUUAAAAGAUAAUAACAAUAGAUAUUUGGAAUAUUUCUAAAUAUCACGCUGCAUCACUUACAUAAAUGACAUGUUCGUAAAUCUCUAGUAAUAGAGAAUUAUCUAUCGAUUAGAUGACAUACUUUUAUAUAUAAAGAAUUAAUCCGUGAUUAAAAAAAAAUAGCAUAACUAAAGACCUACAUUUUUUUUCAAAUGUCAAGGGAAAAUAAUUGAUUCUACUAUAUUCAACAUCUGCUUCUGUACCCAACAACGUUACAUCAUGUCGUCGGUGUAGCGUUGGUUGGAGAGGAGAAUAACAAACAUUAUCAAUAGAAUUUGUGAGUAAACCGAUAUAGUAAAUGUCAAAGUCCCACAAAAUAUUAAGAAUCUUGUAGUUCCACAAAGUAAUACACAUCUCAUUUCAAAGUACUUCUCAACAUGUAAAAACAAUCAAAGAUUCUUCCCAUCAUUCACUACACAGAAAACAACCAAAUUCCCAAACAUAAUGUACAUGGUAAACCUCCAAAGGAACAUAAUAUCUCACUGGCCCUUGCUUCGUGGAUCUUCAGAGUGCAUAGCAUUGUAGUCUUUUGUGUAAACUCGGUGCCUCCUCUCCCGCGCAUAUAUAACCCAAAACACCAAAGAUGACAUUACAGAAGCAGACACUACCACAAGACCCACAUAGAUCCACUGUGUGUAUCUCUUCAGUCCCGGACAAUGAUCCCUCUCUAUAUCAGUGAAUGUAGACCUCACAAAGUCACACCCUUGCAGGUCUGCCAAGAACGGACCGUACUUGUACAGUCCAUAGCUUACAUUAACUGCUGCAGCCAUCUGGCUGUAAAGCUUUGGUGUCAACCGUCCCUGUGUGCUGCAUGUUCCCGGUGUUACGAUUUGGCAAGUGAAGUUCUUCCACACCUGCAUAAAAACAAAUUGGGUUUAUUCUUGAUUCUUUUGAUUUCAACUUCUAGUUGUGAUUCUGAAUUCAGAAAUUUUAUUAUUGAAUCCUCAGUUUACCUCUGUUGCAUUGUUCAGAUGAACCUCACCAGGCUGGCACUGGUGGUCAGAGAGAUCAGCAUUGAAGGGGUUACAGAGCAGGGGCAUUAGUGGACCUGACUGGUUGUAAUAAAGAGG